AAUCAUCGAGGUUGCUCUUUUUUCCUUUUUUAGGUGCCUUGAUUGGAGAAUCUUGGAUUUUUAUGGUAUCUCUCUCCUGUUCAUCCAUGGCUUUUUCCACUCUUCUCACCUCCUUUUUUGUCACCAUUGCAUUUGACCCGUCUAUAUAUGUUUUUUUUCCAUGGAAAAGAUGAUUUUUGUUGGUUUAUUUAUAAUCAUGGUGACUCUUCAACAAUGACCUCUUUACCCACUAGAUGUCAACUUGCAAGAAGAGAUUUACAUGGAGCAACCUCUCAGAUUUAUUGCUUAAGAGGAGUCUUUUGGGUUGAUAUUUUGUCUUCUAUGUUGUCUUGCAAAUCAUUAGCAAUUUGGUGUCACUCAAAUGCAAAAACAUAUAUUUUCACUAAGUCUUUAUGGAUUAUAUUAGUAACAAGCUUGGUACAUAUACAAUUUGUAUGCAUUAACUUGAGAGGAUGUGUUAGAUAUAUUAUCUUUAUUUUAUAUUUAUCUUUUAUCUUUCGUUAGUUUAUUAUUAUUAUUUCUUAUUUGUAUUUUGGACUUAGCCCAUAUUUCUUAUAUUAUAAAUAGAUGAUCCUAUGUGUAUAUUCCACACAAGAGAGAUUAAUCCUUUACAUAGUUUUUCACUAUGUUCAUUUCCUUGUGGUUAGUUUAAUAAUUUUUCAUUUGAAACUGUUAACAGAUGUAGGAUUAACAAAGAAUGAGACAUUUAUAGUUUUAGGGUUAUGGCUCUUAAGAUCGAAUGUGGAAGGAGGACUUAUCAUGAUGUUGAGUUUCAUGUGCCUCUGAUGAACUAGAUGUGGCAAAAAUAAGGGAAAAGGAAUGUGAAGGAUGUUCUCGAUGAGAGAUUGAACAAAAAGUUUAAUGUGGAUGAAAUGAGAAACUUGAUCAUUAUGGAGUUGCGGUGAACUAACCUUAAGGAUAAGGAGAGGCCAAAGGCUGUACAAGUGAUAAAAGAUCUUGAGCUCAAAGUCCCAUUUCCAAAGUCUUUGAAUUUAUGUAUUUUAGAAAGAAUUAAGUUGUGUACCUUUCAUGUAAAUUUUAAUAUCACUUUGUAAUUUUUGUUGCUUUUAUGAGAAGUUAUUUAAUGAUUGUCAAAUGUAAGCAAGUAGUUAUGUAAGAUAAUUUCCUUUGAAUAAAGUUUCUAAAUGUUUAAUGAUCUGUUAUAUUUGUGUAAAUGGGUUAAAGGUAAUUUCAUUAUGAAUAUUCACAUGCUGAAGACUUACACUAAUUGAUUAGUUCAAUUAGAAUUAUUUCUUUCUUUUUUUCUCAUAUCUUUAAUGGUGAGAGUUUAGAUUAAGAGGAUUAUUUUAGUGUUAUGAAUUAAAAAAUUGUCUACAUUUUCUUUGCAAUAAAAUAAUUACAAAUAAAAGAGGUUUCAAACCUCCACAAAACAAUAAUAACCAACAAAGAGGUCAUAGUAAACCCUCUACAAAAAAAUCUCCACAAUAUAAAUAAAAUAUUAAGGGUCAUAGUAAACCUCUGCAAAAGAGUGUGGCGAAUGUAUUUGUGGAGGUUUUAAACCUCUGCAAAUUAAUUUGCAGAAGGUAAACCCCACCCUCGCAAAUUGAAAUAAAAACAUCUACAACAUAGUUUUUUUUUGUGUAAUGUGACUCAAUGAUUGACCUACUUAUAGAACUUUUAUUGACAUUUUGAUUCUUUGUUUUUUUUUUUUUUAUGUGGGAUUCUUAGCAUGUCAAAAUGGACCCGUCAGACCCAUUUUUUCCUGUCAAUUGAUGGGUUGGCAAGCUGAAGAAUUUGCCCCAUCCUGCCAAUGAGUGAACUGGUGGGCUAGCCGGUUGGUUCACCACCCUUUCCCCCAACUGUUUUUUUCUUUCGUUUAAAACUCAAAAUAGUGUUGGACAUUUUAACUCGGACAUCAAACAAACACAAUUUAUACGAAAUAUAUUCAUUUGAACAACAAGUAAAUCUAGAAAGUAGUAAAGCAUAAUACACAAAUAUAUAUUUAUCUAUUCAUUGACGGUUCAUAUAUGUAAUCUGACUCACCUUUUCCUUGGCAAGCUGGCAGGCUGACCUAUCAGGUUUAAUAUACUUUUACAUUUCUAAGAAUUCUUGAUUAUAAGAUAUUUUUGUCCAACCCAAGUGUUAUAAACUAAAUGAAUUUGAAAGACUUACUUAUCGUGAUAGAGUUAAUAAUAAUUAUAUAUAAGUAUUUAUAUGAUCUAAAAUAUAUUAUCAAUGCUACUAGUUUCUAUUACACCAUUUCCUUAUAUUAUUUAAAUGUAUGUCUUUAUAUCUUUAUGUGUUAUCUAAAUUUAAAUGUUAUACAUAAUUUUGCAGUCAUUUUCUAAAUUAAGUAAUCCAAGUGAAAUAAUGAAUAGAUUAAUUGAGAUUAUUUAGGGUGUAUUUUUUUCCAUAUUAAUUAUUUGUGAAAGAGUAAGUGAAAAUGAUAUAUUUGUUUGUUUAAAGGGAUUUGUGGGUAAACGGUGGAGAAUAUUUGAAGGAGAAACAUGAGAUUCUAUUUCUCUUUAAGGUGUGGUGAUAUGAGAGGAUGAAGAAUAUAAUUACCAAACAAAUCUUUGAUUUUUUUUUUCUAAAAUUUACAAUCUUUAUUUAUGAUAACUAAUAAUAAUAACAAUAAUAAUAAUAAUGAAAUAUAAAGUAUUUAAAAAUAAUAUUAAUGAAGAAUAUUUUAACCAAUCAUAUUUUAUUUUAAAUUAAUUACACCUAUUAACUUUUUUAUAAAAAAAUAUUCAAGUUUCAUUUUUAAUUAAUUUUAAUUAAUAGUAUUUUAUUUCUAUUAAUUUUAAUCAUGAGAAAAAAAUAUGCAAUUUUACUACUUAAUUUAUUAAAAUGUUUUUUUUUUUAUCUCACAAUCCAAUCAUUCACAAAAUUUUAUAAAUUUCACCUCCAAAUUUCUUUUACCUUAACUUCGACAUCUCUUAAAAAAACAACUAUAUACCUUCUUAUACUUCACUGUCUCUAUGAUCCAUACACUUACACUUCCUUCCAUCGUAUCCUAAAAGGAAUAUAGCCUUAAUGAAGCAUAACAAACGCAUUUAUGCAUGAACAAGGUGCAUUUUCUAACCAAUUUUCCUGUUUUUCUUUGCUUUUAUUAAGUAUUGAAGAACCUUGACAUGACACUUUGCUACCAAACCUAAUAAAAAGUACACGAAAAGAGGACCAUGUUGAUGGAAAGUAAAAUCAUAAAUUGGAUUGUACAAAUGAUAGUCACGGUUGUAAAGUAUGGACACAUUUUUUAACUUUUUUUUUUCAUGUUUCAUAAAUAUAGAGAAUAAAUAUGUUUUUAAUUUUUCAAUUUUAAGUGAGAAUUAAAAUUAGUUUAGUUUUAACAUUUUAAUUUAAUUUAAUUUUUUAACUUUAGAAAUACAUGAAUUUAUUUUUUUUUAACUAAAUUUUGUUAAAUUUAUUUGAUAUUUCAAAUAUAUUUUAUGAUAAUAUUUGAGUUGUUUAUUUUAAAACAUUUUUUUCAAUGUUAAUAGAGAAACAUAUUUAAAACUUCAAAUAAAUUUAAUAAAAUUUGAUUAAAAAAAUAUGUCAUUAUAAAAAUAACAAACUAAAUUAAUCUAAAAUUUAAAAAAAGACUAAUUUUAAUUUUUCUCCAAAGUUAAAAAUAUAUUUAAUCCAAGAAAACAAUAAUAAGUUGGGAUCAAUAAAAGCAAGAGUCACAAAUCUGACUUCAAACAUUUAGGCUAUGUUCACAUCAACAUGUUAGACUGUUCAAGAGGAAAAAUUUGGACGGAUUUGCGAGAUACACUGUAUUUGUUUCAAUCGAUAUAUGAAGAUGAAUUUGAGCUGAUUUGCGAUAUAUGCUUAAUUGCUUAUUUUUGUCCCCAGUUUUGCUCAAGUGUAUCAAUUAGGUCCAAUCGUUGAAAGGAUUGUCAAAUGUGUCCUCACUUCGUAAAUUUUGCGUCAACGAAGUCCCUUCCGUUAAAUAGAAAUAAACAAAGUUAAGGGAUUGAUGAUAUGGUAGAAGACAUUGCUAACGUGUUAUUUUGUAGGUGUAUUUGUGCUGACGUGUUAGUAAAUUAGAGGUUGACGUGAAAAGUAACUUACCCUUCACGCACCAUUGCCUUGAUUCUUCCAUCAUUUCAUCUUCUUUCACUUUCUCUUGCUAAAAAAAACUACUCAUUUUGUCUCUCAACAACAUCAUCACAAACAAAUUCAUCAACCUCAUUCAUCACUCCCAGUAACACUCAGAUUCAUCACCCAAUAUCACCACCUUCACUCUUACCUUAGAAAAUCUCCAUCAUCCUCAUAUAAUCACCUACACAUUCAAACCCAACCAAAAUAGGGAAAAAAAUGAAAAAGGAAGAAAAUAGUCGUUGACAGUGAUUUUUAACUUCGAAUAGAAGUAGUUGAACUCCUUUAUCAGGCACAAAAGGGAAAAAUGAGAAGGUUGAACUGUCGCACGAGAUGGUGGAUGGUCGAGCUUGAUGAUCGUCAUGGUGGCUGGUUCGGUGGAAGAAGGUUCUACGCGAUAAAGGAUUAAGAUAGUGGUCUUGGAGAAGCUUUUGGCCAGUAAGGAGGAGCAACGACCUUGGCUUGGCCACAACAAUGACUUGCGCAGGAGAACAUCGUUGACGGCGCCGGUAACCUCGUUAGUCCAAGUCGUUGAGACGAUGAGCGGUAGAGGCGCGAGCAACGAUGUCGCUAGCGAUGCUUCACGGUGUCAGAGCUUACCUCAAACGCGUACGGAGGGAGAACUCAUAGUGGCUGGUGUGACACCCGGGCACUGACGAGGGCGGGGAGUGAUCGCCGGUGCAAUAAGCAUGGUGCAGGGGCAUAGACAAGGAGCGACUCCUGGCAGGCUUCCAGUGGAAGGGGCACAUGGACGAAUCGAACAUACACCAGAAUGAGAGGGAUCUGGAGAUUGUAUAGGUAUGGGACUAUACAGUUGAAGGAUAGCUUAAAGGAAUUGAUUUGACUACUCAUAUUAACAAAUGCAUUUUCUUUUCGGUAGCCUAUCUCAUAAGAACUCCAUGGUUAAGCGUGCUUAGCCUAGAGUAAUUAUGGGAUGGGUGACCUUCCGGGAAGUUUUCUCGGAAAGUGUGUGAGUGAGGACAAAGCACACUGGAAAGCCUCGUGUUGAUGUGUGGGGGCAGUCAGCAGUCCCUGUAAGUUGCCGGGGUGUUACAAAUGGUAUCAGAGCCUAGCCUCUCCCAGUACGGUGUGGUUCGAGGACGAACCAGACGGAAGCUGGUGGGCAUGUGACACCCGGGCACUGGCGAGGGCGGAGAGUGAUCGCCGGUGCAAGAAGCAUGGUGUAGGGGCACGGACAAGGAGCGACUCCUGAAGGAUAGCUUAAAGGAAUUGAUUUGACUACUCAUAUCAACAAAUGCAUUUGCUUUUCGGUAGCCUAACUCAUAAGAACUCCAUGGUUAAGNGUGCUUAGCCUAGAGUAAUUAUGGGAUGGGUGACCUUCNGGGAAGUUUUCUCGGAAAGUGUGUGAGUGAGGACAAAGCACACUGGAAAGCCUCGUGUUGAUGUGUGGGGGCAGUCAACAGUCCCUGUAAGUUGUCGGGGCGUUACAACUGGCGGUGUCUUUAGCAACAAUCGAUGUUGCUGACGAUAGUUUUGGUCGGCCAGAGGGAGGCAUGGCGACAUUGGUCAUGCGGAGGGUAGAGCUGUCGUUAAUGAAGGUGGAAAAGAGAACUAACUUCAUUUCUGAAAAGAAAAAAGAAACCCUACUAGCUUUUAAUCUGAAGAGAAAGAAAAGAGGGCUUGGGCCUGAACCAAAAAAUACCAAGUGCACCCCUAAAUUUCAUAUCUGCACCCAUUCACUAACACGUCAACACAAAUACACCUACAAAAUAACAUUUUAGCACUGUCUUUUGCCAUAUCACCUAUCCCUUAACUAUGUUUGUUUCUAUUUAACGGAAGGGACUUCGUUGACACAAUUUACAAAGUGAGAACGCAUUUGACACUCUUUUCAAAGGUUAGACCUAAUUGAUACACUUGAGCAAAAUUGGAGACAAAAUAAGCAAUUAAACCUUAUAUAUAUAUAUAUAUAUAUAUAUAUAUAUAUAUAUAUAUAUAUAUAUAUAUAUAUAUAUAUAUAUACUUAGUGAUGUAUUUGUAUAUAUGUACGUAGGCACAUAUUUAUAUAUAUAAAUAUGUGACAUAUGUGUGUGUAUAUAUACAUGCGCACAUAUAUGUGUAUAUAUGUACGUGAGCACAUAUGUAUAUAUAUGUAUGUAAGCAUAUAUGUAUAUAUAUGUACAUAGGCACAUCUUUUUAUAUAAGUAUGUGGACACAUAUGUGUAUAUAUGUACGUAAGCAUACAUUUGUAUAUAUGUUCAUCGACACAUAUUUGUAUAUAUGUAACUGCGGACAUAUGUGUGUAUAUGUAUGUGUGCACAUAUGUGUUAUAUUGAUUGGGUGGCAAAUCACAAGUUCAACCAAGCAUAAGUUAGUGAAACUUCAAAAUAUGAUUUGCUAGAUAGUCUAGUCUCGGUAGACAAUCCUCAUAGAGAAAAACUAUUGAUCUCCAACAACCUUAGGUAUUUAGUCACCAUUUCUUUGAUUUCUCAAUAGACUUCCUUAAUUCUCUUUUGGUCGUCUAUUUUUUACAGUAUAAAAGUUAUUUCAUUCCAGAUGGAACUGAAUUCCAUGAUAAUGUUUGAUUCCUUAUAGAGAUUAUAGAUGUAAUCAACCUUAACAUUCAAAUUGGUUAUCCACUCCAUGCAUUUAAAAUCUUGAGGAUACAGUAGUAAAUCUUCAACGUCACUUUUUCAUUGUAUGAGCUACAAUGUAUUCCCAAAGUUAUUUUCAUGACAUCUGGUACAAUAAAACCAAAAUUUAACAAUGUAAUUAAAAUUGCUAAACUUUACCUUUGGUGAAUGAUCAAUAAUAUUUGUAAAAUAAACUCUGACAUUAUCGACAAGUUCACAAUAUUUGAAAAAUUCAUGGGCAAAUCUUUGGUGAGAUUUUAGUUGAGCAUUCACACUUACUGAUUAGUUAAUUAGUAACUUAGUAAGCAUGUAUACCUAAUGCCUUUAACAAUAGCAAUAUAUUUAUCACAAACCACACUCACUAACUCAAUCCUGUAAGGUAAUCGAGUACUUGUUUUUUCCAUAGAAGUUUCCCGUGUUUAUUUUAUGUUAUAGAUGGAGUCAUUGCACCAUCAUUAUAUAUGUUAUUCUUACACAUCUAUCUAUUUUCCAUGAGAUAAAUUUUAUAAAACAAUCAACAGAGAAUUAUCAUAUAUUGAUAAUAGGUCGAGAGUUACUCCUUAAGGAUGGUGUCACGGAUGGUGCUUUUUCCUGCAACCAUGCCUCCUUCCAAAAACAACAAUACCAAAAUUCUCUCUGUAAGCUGUUAGGAAGAAAAAUAAUGCUGAGGUGUCUACUAAUGUUGAUGCUGAAAUAGAGGGCCACAUGGAAGAUAUAAUGCACAAGGAGACAAAUCCAGAGUUAGUUAUUGGAAGGGGACAACUGGCAAACAAUUGUGAAAUCAAGGAACCAAGAAGGAGCAGCAGAAAGAGAAUAUCAAAUAGGAGGUUACAGGACUUGGGGUAGCAUGAAAAAUCUGUGGUACAACUCUCCCUCUUAGAUUCUCCCUUCUCUCUCCUGUAACAAAUUCCCUAAUUCUUACAUUCUCUUCUCAGGUACUGUGCCUCUGGAAAGGAAGCCAUGACCGUGGCUAUCCUCUCUGCUAGAGGGAUCUUUUUAGAGAUGAUAGGAAACGUGUGGAAUGUCUGCAAUAAUUCAUUUAUGAUUGUAUUGACUUUUCUUCAUUAGAAAUAUACAACCAGCACAGUUUAUUUGCAGAGUGUUUGUUAAAAUUUAUUUGCUGUAUAACAUAAGCAUUAUUUAUUAACUGCAUCGAUGCAGUGGUUUCAUUUCUUCCAUUAAAAUGAAGAAUGUUCUAGUCACUCACUUAUUCAUAUAUAAUCUUUCAAAUCAUAUUUUCCUGGCACAAUAUUAGGGACAACAAAUAUUUAAAUAAAUAUGUAUUUUCUUACAUAAUGUGUUUCUCACAUAUUUAGAAGAAAUAUAUAUUCUUAAUAUUUAAAAAACUUUUAGCUCCAUAGUAAUGAUAUGACAUGAUUUAUUUUAAAAAAAUUGUAAGGAUUAAAGAAAAUAAAAUUUUACCUUGUAGCUGCCAGUAUUAUUUCUUUUAAGGGAAAAUUUCACACUUAAAACCUAUAACCAAUAAAAAAAAUGAGAUCAUUAAUAUAGUAAGUUGAAAAUAUAUGCAUGAAAAGAAUAUGAUGUUUUACUAGAUUAGGAAAGAUAAUAUGAAAUUCAAAUUAUUAUUUUUCAUUGUAUGUUGGCAAAGCAAAACCAACCAUGAUAAAAUUUCCAUCUAGUCUUAUACUGAAAUAUAUUUUUGUUAAAGUUUAUUUAAAAAAAAGUAAGAAAAAUAAAUGAAUAAUAAAAAGAACUAAGAAUUAUACUUCGCUAAUGACAGAUGAAACUUAAUCUCAGUUAAAGGAAAAAUAGCUCAAAAUACAUCUUUCAAAUUCAUGUUCUAGCUUUGUAAACAAAUAAUAUGUUCUCGUCACCGCCAUGGGAAAUAUAUUCAUAAAUUCUCUCAUCACAUCAUUCAAAUCUUUUCAAAACUUUUUGGACUAGUAUGCACAAAAGUGGAACAUUUUUAGCAUCUUCAAAUCCUAAUUGUCUUGCUACAAACACAUGAAUAACAUUAUAUAAAAUACAUUAGCCAAAACAUGUAGGUGGACACAAAUUUGUAUAUGUGUACGUGACACAUAUUUAUUGUGGGCAUAUAUUUGUACAUACAUACAUACACAUACAUAUAUAUAUAUAUAUAUAUAUAUAUAUAUAUAUAUAUAUAUAUAUAUAUGUGUGUGUGUGUGUGUGUGUGUGUGUAUAAAUGUAAACACAUUUUUAUUUAUAUGAACAUGCGACAUAUGUGUGUAUAUAUGUACGUGAAUAUAUAUGUGUAUAAAUUAACGUUCACACAUAUGUGCAUAUAUGUAUGUGCGCACAUAUGUAUAUAUAUACAUGUACAUAAACACAUCUUUGUAUAUAUGUAUGUAGGCAAAUAUUUAUAUAUAUACUAAGGAACAUAUUUGUAUAUAUGUACGUAGGGACAUAUUUAUAUAUAUGAACGUGACAUAUGUUUGUAUAUAUGUACAUGCGCACAUAUAUGUAUAUAUGGGUGUAUGCACAUAUAUACGUAUAUAUGAUCAUUUGGGGAUUUCUCCCAAUUCUCUCAAUAAUAGGAGUUAGGGUUCGUGAGCCAGCAAAAAGGCGAAGCAAAGAAGCAUUCCAUGGAAUAUUGUGGACGAAACCUAGAAGAUUGAUCGAACCGGAAGCUGGUUAAAGGCACGUGCGAAUCGGUUGGCAGUUGAAGAGCGAAAUGGUUCAGAGUUCGUUGAAGACUCGAGAAGCUUACGAGUUUAAAGUUCUUCCCCCUUUCCCCUAUUUUUUUCUACUUUCUUUUCUUUUUUGUUUUCUGACUUUCCCUAUAGAAAGGGAAGUCUUGUAAUAUAGAAUGCACGAGUAGUGAGUGACAAACUCCACUUAAACUAGGUUUUCAAUCUCUCCUGCUUUAGUUCAAAUUUUCAAAGCUUUCUUAGAAUAGAUAUGAUGUUCAUCGCUAGUGGAUUUCGUAGAGAAUUCUCAUGUGGGUGAUAGGCCGUGAGGUUUCUCUGUGAUCUUCGGUACAACUCUUGUAAUUCAGUUUUAAAUCUUAAUACAUUUCAAUUAUGUAAUCUUUUCUUUGCAAAAGUUUAUGCUUAUUGUUCUUUAAAUUUUGAUGGUGCAAUUUAGAUUUUCGUUCUAGUCAUGUUAUUUUGUUUUGUUCUAUUGUUCUUUAUCUUUUGCGAUAUGUGAUACUUUGUAGAAUAGGUGAUUCUUUAUCUUGAAAUUUAGUGUUUCUAUUUCAUUUGAUAAAUGCAACUGUAGUUUAGGAAGUCAUUUCCUUUUUGUUUUAGAAAUUAUGAUCUAAAUCUUGUUCUGUUUGAGUAAGUUUAUAUGUUUUAAGAUUAGUGACAAAUAUGGAUUUAUUGUUUUUCUGGUUUGUUCUAUCGCAUCAAUUUUCUUGCUUGCAAUUUGAUUUUACGAUUGAUGUACUCUUUUCUUUCAUUUCAGUUAUGCUUUAUGUCAUUCUUUAGUUCAAUAUCAUGCAUUGCAAUUUGCCUCCAUUUUUGUAGAAUGGUCAUAGGUAGAUACUUAUCAUUCAUUCAUCCCAUUCCAUAGUUUCAUGCAUUUAGUAGUUAUUAUCUACAUUAUUCAUUCUUUGCAUCAAUCUAUAUUAGGUGUUAUGCAUUCAUUUAAGUAGAUACAUGCAGUAUUAGUUAGUUUCAUAUUUUAGAUUACAAUUUUCAUUUUCUUUCCCCACCUAGUUUUAGUUUUUAAUAAAUAAAUAAUUAGGUUUAAUUCUAUAAUUCUAGAUUUAAUUAGCUUAGUCCAAUGAUUGAUUUCCUAGGUUGCCCCUAUACUACAUUAGUGGGACUAGGAUUGUUGAGUUUUUGUGCGACCAAAAGCUGUUCAACAUAUUGCUACAAGCAAAUGAAUAACACAUAUAAAAAAUAUUAGCCAAAACAUGUAGCACGACACAUAUCUUUACAUAUGUACGUGAACACAUAUUUGUAUAUAUGUAUGUGCGCAACUAUGUUGGAUGUAAAAUCAAAAACAGAUUCAGUUACAUUUUCUCAUGUAUAAAGUUGUAAAACAUUUCAAAAAUUAAAUACAGAAAAAAAACCAUUUCAGUGUACCUUGUGUAUACUUGAUUUCUGUCUAAUACUUUCUCUCCUCUUCAUUUUUUAUUUCUUCUUCCCCUAGAGCUUCUCUUUCUUCUUCUUCUCUCUGGAAUCUGUGACUUUCUUUUCUUUCCUCUGAAACCCUAGAACCUAUUUGUACAUAUGUACGUGUACACAUAUUUGUACAUAUGUAUGUGCAAACAUAUGUGUGUGUAUAUACAUGGGCUUACAUUUGUAUAUAUAUACUUGGAAACAUAUUUCUAUAUAUAUACGUGGACAUAUAUUUGUUUGUGUGCAUAUAUUUGUGUGUGUAUAUAUAUAUAUAUAUAUAUAUAUAUAUAUAUAUAUAUAUGUAUGUAUGUAUGUAUGUACACAAACACAUCUUUGUAUAUAUGUACGUGAUAAUGGUAAUUUUUACCAUUAUCUGGUGCAAUUUUCUUGUCAAAUCAACACUCCUGAAGCUUGAAACACGCUUGAUCCUCUUCUUAAUCUAACUUUGUGAAUAAACUUAGCUUAGGUUACACACUUUAGUUUUCAUCUUUUUUCCUCAAAUUUUGUAGGAACUUUGAGUACUUUAGAAAGGCAUUCAAGUUAUAAAGAGUGGAGAACCAAGGGAGAACCACAAAAGAAGAAGUCCACAAGAAGCUCACCAGGAAAACUGGCGCUGGGCGCCACCCAUUUCACGCUGGGCGUGAAAACUCACUGUUUCCAGGAGUAUUUCACGCUGGGCGCCAUCCAUAUCACGCUGGGCGUGAAAACUCACUGUUUUCAGGAGCAUUUCACGUUGGGCGCCACUUUAAUGGCGCUGGGCGCGAGUUUUCUGAUGUGGCACCCUACCCUAUAAAAGGCACACAAUUUUUUAGGGUUGAGAAACUUCUUGGCGGCUAAGACCUGGGGAAGCGUUCUUGCACCUCUUGGAGGUAGUUUUGGACAGUGGGAGCUCUCCUUUUCUUCUCCUUGAGUCUCUUCUUCACCAUUUUCAUUCCAUUGUUAAGUUCAUUUUUGUUGGAGAGUGAUGUAAACUAAGAACUUCUUGUAAACGCACUUGUUUUUAAAUGAAAAAUGCUUCAUUCAUUGCUUGUUGGUGUUUUAGUCUUUUACUUAAUGCUAGUUAUGACUUGAUCAACCAUAGCUUGAUUGUGGGGUUUACUUAAGGUUGGGAAACAUUGGGUGAACCUUGAACUAGACUAAACACCUAAGGGAAAUAGUGUCUAGGGAUAGAGCUAGGACCGUUAGUUUUCAUAAACUUCUUUUCUUAAUGUGGGUGAGUUUGUUGGAUUACCAAGGGAUUGGGGUGUAACAAAUGAACCUAGGCUAUCUCACCAAGGGAUUGAGUUUUAGUAAGUUAGCUAGUUGACAAGAACAAGUAAUUGAAGAAGAGUGGUGUAGUGCAUUUGCAUAGGAUGGAAUUAGUUGAAAUCAUUCUCCAACAUAUUCAUUCCACAUAUUUAUCAAUCAUCUCAUUUUCACGUGUUUUGGCCCCAAGUAGUUCAAAUUUUUACUUAUGCAUAACUUUUACUUUCAUUACACAAUCUCAAACUAAAAUGGAACCAUUCUUUAGCUUAAAUUAGUUAGUAAUUAUACGAUAGUAAAGUAAUAACGAAGUCUCUUGGGAAACGAUAUCCGGUCUUACCGGUUUUACUACUUGCACGACUUGGUACACUUGCCAAAGUCUCAACAGUACGUAAGGACACAUUUUUACAUGUGAACGUGUGACAUAUGUAUGUAUAUAUCUACGUGCGCACAUAUAUGUAUAUAUGUACUUGUGCACAUAUAUGUAUAUAUGUAGAUUUAAGUCCAAAUAGUCUCUGUCCAUAGUUUGUAAAGGUCAAAAGAAACUUUGUUCACAUUUGACUUGUGGUUGGGGUUUUGAAAUUGGAUCCAGUUUUAACUAAUUUCUUUGUUUUGUGCCUAUUGUGAUGUGUGUUGCUAUGGUUUUAAAUGGAAUGUUUGGAUUGAACUAAAGUGAAAGCUCUGCUGUUUUUACAAGUGUGGACACUUUCGUCAGGAUUUUGCUUUGUUACAUUUUCGGAGCACAUUAAUUUUGUUAUGACUUUACAUUUUAUGGCAAGUAACAAUUGCCUUCUUAGUGCAUCUCUUGACGGGACCAUUCCUGCAUGGGAUUUAUUACGCUACCGAAAUUUUAGGACCUUUACAACCCGUUCUUCUAGACAGUUUGUUUCCUUGACAACUGAUCAAAGUGGUGAAGUGAUAUGUGCAGACACUUUAGAUUCCUUUGAGGUAUAGUUUUGUACAAAUUAGGUUGGUUCUAACUAUUUCAUUAUUAUUUUACCAUUCACCCUUUUUACUCAAUCAUAUGUGUAACAGAUUUUUGUUUGGUCCAUGAGAACGGGACCCUUGUUGGAUGUGCUUAGUGCUCAUGAAGCUCCUGUUCAUGGGCUGGUCUUUUCUCCUACAAAUGUUAGUUAUAUUUUCUUCUGCUGAUAUUUGCUUGCAUAAGUUGAUUUCUUAUCUUGUGUAGUAUUUUUAACCGGUUCCAAGUUUCCUCUUUGGUAGAAAUUUAUGUCAACUCAUGUUUCAUGUUCUCAGUUUAUAAAAGGUUUAAUCCAUUUAGUUGUUCCUAUUUUCGGGAGGUUUUCCCAUUUUGAUCCUCGUCUUAUUCGAAUCCCCAAUUGAGUCCCUAUAAGUGCUAAUUUCAAUCAAUUAAGCCCCUGCCAUUAAAUUUAGUUAACGAGAUUAACUUUUUUGCACAACUGGGAGGAUGAGCUGUUAAUUUCUAUAAACGUGGCCUAUUUAGAGUUGAAACGUGGCAUGAAUUGAGUCCCAUAAGUGCUAAUUUCAAUCAAUUUCAGCUCUAAUUUAUGCCACGUUUCAACUCUAAAUAGGCCACGGUUACAGAAAUUAACAGGUCAUCCUUCCAGUUGUGCAAAAAAGUUAACCCCGUUACCUAAAUUUAACGGCAGGGGCUUAAUUGAUUGAAAUUAACACUUAUAGGGACUCAAUUGGGAAUUCUAAUAAGACGGGGAUCAAAAUGGGAAAACCUUCCAAAAAUAAGGACAACUAAAUGGUUUAAACCUUUAUAAAAUGAUAUUAUCUUUUAAGCAUGUAGCACAUCAUCAAACAUCAAUAAUUUUAUUAUUUCUUGAUAUAUAUGACUUAUGAAAGACAAACAAAAAUAAAGUAACUAAAAAGGAAAACAUAAGGAAAAGAGAAUAACAAAAAUAGAACUAGCGAGCAGAAGAAAUAAUAAAGAAGAAAAGAUAAAGAAAAAGAAAAAUGACUUAUGAACUCAGAAGAAAAGUCAAAUUUAUAAACUUUUGCACAGUGAAAAAGACUCACCCACCAUAAAGCUCUCUCAAAACAUUUCAAAAAAGGCUUACAUUUCGUAAGAAUGCAAAGUCUCACACAACGUGGUCAAGCGGUCCUCUUAAAGCCAAAAGUUUCACUAUGUUAACAGUCUCAACCCCUACUACUAUUACCAUAUCAAUCGUACGAGUAAAAGAAAAGAAUUCGAAAAAUAAAAAAACAACUCAAGAAUACAAAAUAAUCAUGAAAAUUGAAUAUACCAUUGGCUUUUUUGAGAAUUUUUUGCAUACAUUCAUUAUUUCAAAAGAAAAUCAAAAUACAUCACACGCAUUGUAAAUAUUGAAAAGGAAAAAUAAAAUUCAUAGCAUAUGUGUAAAGUUAUUUUCUUUAUGUUUUUCGGAUUAAUGGUCAUUAUAUUAAUGACCUACAUAUUCAUUAUAAAAAAAUUAGAAAAAGAAAAAUGAAAAAAGAAACUAAAAUCAAUUUUUUAAUAUUUUCAUUAAUCUUUAUUGUGAUAAAAAAAAAACAGUUUUCAAGCUCGUUACGUCCAGUUGCCCUGUAUGGUUUCUUUGAGCCCAAAUUCUUUGAAUUUUUAAAAAGAAAAAGAUUAUAAAAAUUAUAAAAAGAUUUCUUUUAAUAUGUUUCAUUAUUUUCACAUUAUAUAACAUUUUUUCGUAUAUAAUAAUUUGAAAUCAAUUCAAAGAAAGUAAAAAAAGAAAAAGAAAGAAAAAGAAUAGUUAGAAUCUGUAAAGACUGGGGAAGUUAGCCUAAAGGAGGACAAGUGGUAACAGGUAAAUGGGAGAAAUUGUUUAAAUAUAAAAUAAUAUAAAACCAAAACUCGGAGUUUUUCCCUUUACCUGAGAAAAACUUUCUUUCUCUCCAAGCUCUACCGUUUUCUCAUAUGUUCUUCUCCUCUCUUCUCUGCCUUCUCUCCUCCAUUCCUCCUCACUGAACCGUUAGUAUUUUUAUUAGUGGUGCCCAAGCAUUCCCGGCAUGGAGAGCUUUGAAUCUGACCGAUUAACUUUUAGUUUCUCAACGGGUAAGUUGUUCUUCUCUUCCUCCAUGCUUUUAGGGUUGUGAGCAUGCAACAAUUUUUUCGUGCAUAUGGUUUUUUAGUUUCUUUUCUCCACCUUCUAGCUCAAACUACGUAUUAAGAGCUGUUCUUGACCACCAAAUGGUGAUUUGUAGGUCCUGUUGAGUUCAUCGCUCUGUGAGGCACUGUUUAGAGUGUUCCAGUGAGUUGUGCUGUGAAUAUGAGGUAAGGGGAGCUAGAAUACUUCUUUAUUUUUUUUUGGUAUGAUAUGAAUGUGUUGGUUGGUAUCAAUCAGAGAAUAACGCAGCGAAAUAAAAUUUAUAAAACGGAGAGCGUGUUCAGUCACAAGUUAUAUAAAAAUGGUCAGUUUUACAAGUAAACUUUCUAAUAGAAAAUUUAUCGAACAAUUGAUGUGCAUAAAACAGUAAGGAGUGUAGGGAGUAGAAAAAUCACACAGAUAAUUUUUAUACUGGUUCGAUUCAAAAGAAUCUACGUCCAGUCGUUAAUCAUUAUAAAAAGUGAUUAACCGUUUCACUAAAAAAUCAGUUUCACAAAUUUACAAUAAGUGAAUGAAAAUAAGAGAUAAAAGAACCUUCCUUCGACAAAUGAACCAGAAGAUAACUACUUUGUCAACUCGAAGAGAACCGCUCCGACUUUCGACAAAUGAAAUGCGAGCUUCUCCUAUUCACGAGACCAGACAAAGUACACUUUGCCAACUCAAAGAGAACCGCUCUGACUUUAGACAAAUGAAACGAGCUUCUCUUAUUCACGAGACCAGGCAAAACACCUUACCAACUCGAAGAGAACCGCUUCGACUAUCGACAAACGAAACGUGAACUUCUCCUAUUCACGAGACCAAACAAGGGAGUUGAACUAGCUUUAGAGAACUUCCUCAGACAAACUGUAUUCUGCAAAAGAUCUAAGUUCAAAAGUUAUUUUCUAAAGUUCUCAAAAGACCUAUCUAUAGCCAGCUAGUCUGAAUAUGAAAGGUCAUGCCGCAACUACCAGUAAUAAUCGAUUAUUGUAAGUAAUAAUCGAUUAUUCAAGUCCGUUACAAGUUUUCAAAAUAACUUGGGCAGUUUUCAAAACAGACCUGUGAUAAUCGAUUAUUUGGAGUGAUAAUCUAUUAUUUCAGAGCAACAAGGUUUUUCAGAAAGGCUCAGGAUAAUCGAUUAUUACUCAUCAUAUUUAAGACUUUCCUAAUACAUUUAUAUUCUACAAAGUGCUUUUAAAGAUAAGUUAUGACAUCUUCUUCAAGUCUAUCUUCUUGGAGCAUCAUCAAAAUUAUUAUCUUCUAGCUUUACCAAUGUCCCUCAUUGGUAACAAAAUGUAUGUUAAAAUCUGACUCUGUGUGUUGCUUUAGAAUAAUAUUUUAGGUCUGAUAUGUAUAUGGUGUGGCUUGUGCAGAAACUGAAUUCUAUGAAGCUGUGUUGUGAUGUUUAUAAUUGUUUUGGAUGAAUCUUGUUAUUGUAAUUUGAGCAUGUUGGAAGUGCUUGGAGUGAAAAAUCUGUUAUAGUUGAAUUAAAUGGAAAGUUAAGUGAAAUUAUAGUGUUUUAGGGCAAAUUGGAGGAAGUGAGGUAGUAAUUUUGGGCUUGAGUGGUCUUGAGUACAAUUGGAUUGUUUGGGUAGCUCAGAUAGGUCAAUUGUGACUUGUUAGGAACUUUAAACUGGCCAAAAACAUGUUAAAAGUGGUAUAAUUAAAAUUGGGUCUUCAAGUUGUUGAAUUUGGUCUUUUAGAGCAAGAACUGAGUCUUAAACCUUUUAGAUUGACUGUAGGGAUGUUUAAAAUCAAUUAGACAAGUAUAAUCAGGGUUAAAACUCAAAUUAGGGGUGUUAGAAGUUAGGGAAUUGCACUACAAAUGGUAAGAGGGUGUGUGAGUGCAUAAUUCUGUAGAACUUGCAUUCUGCAAAUUAUGCAGUCUCGCUAUGCGGAUGGUUUUGCAUAGCGAGACCCUGUAGAAGGGUGCUCGCUGUUUAGUCAUUCGAUGUGCGAAAUGGUGCGUUGUGCGAAUGACUAGAGAGUGCUGCUCUCUGCCUGGUGAUUCGCAUAGCGAAUCUAUUCGUUAUGCGAUUGGGAGGAGUCUGGGGUUGCAUUUUAGGGGGUUGGUCUCUGUCUGGGCUCUCGCAUAGCGACCUGGGUGCGCUAUGCGAGAGACCUAAGGUUUAGGCAUCUCUGCGAGCUAAUUCGCUAUGUGAAUUAGGGUGCGUUGUGCGAGACCAUCCUGUCUCGCCUUGCGAAUAGGGUACGCCGUGCGAAUUCCUUGAGUCCAGAUUUCUCUUUUGCUCUUGUUUUGGUUGAAUUAAGUGUGUGUAAUGAUUGAAAUGCAUAGUAUGAUGGUGGUAAUGUUAUUAAAUUGAAAGUAUGUGAUUGUAUGAGUCAUGUUUGAUGGUUGAACGUAACAAGUGUGGUUAUUGGACGUAAUUCCAUGAUCCUCAAGGAGAGGAUCCAUGGUGGCCCUUCUAGUGUGUUUUAGAAUGAUUUGCAUGGAAGCUCACUCUUGGGGAUCCUAAAACUACAAUGGUCAAUCAUUCUCAAGUAGAGAGGAUUGAACCAUGUCGUGAGUAGUAGCAGGAGGUCUUAGUCUUGGAGGCUUCUAGUAUCCUCCAAGGCGCGGUACAGACUAACCUCGUGAGUGUGGUAGGGUGAAACCCAUUGGCAACAACUUUACAAAGUAGUAGAGGCCACCACGAGUGCAUGACCCGCCAUAGCUCGACAAUCAUUCUAUGUCUGGUUUAAAGUGUAACAAGUCUUGUAGUGCAAUUCAUUAUACUUGAAUGAAAUUUGCAUGUUGUGUGUGAUUGUAUAACAUGAUUUUUGUAUAUCUAGCUCACAUUUUCUGCUUGUUAGUGUCUUGCUUGUGUUGUGUGCUUCUUUCGUAAUGAUAAUCUACUUGGAUGUGAGCAGAGGGCGAUGAGGUACCCAUGGAGCAGGCAUUGAAGGGCGUAAUGCUGCAGCCUAGUGUCCUAAGGAUUUUUCUUAAUUAUUUUAUGUAUUUUGAAAUACUCUUUAAUACUUAAAGUUUUAAGUUAUGGCUUCUUUUGAGGAUGACUGUAAUUCCUAAGACUUUAUUUACAAGUUUAACUUCUAACUGUUCUCUCAUAUUUGAAUGAUGACGUCUAUACUAUGUUUUCUAUAAUUGGGAUGUCACGUAAUCAAACUCAUAAUAUUUCCAUUUUUCAUUUCUUUCAUGAGAUGAUGAUAAAAAUGUUUUCAACAUAAUAUUGGUUUUUGAGAAUUUUACGCAUAUAUUCAUCAUCCAGAAAGAAAGUCAAAAUACAUCAUGCUUGUAAAUAUUAAAAAAGUAAAUCCAUAGCAUGUUCAUAAAUUUGUUUUCUUGAUAUUUAUUGAAUUGAUGAUUAUCAAUGUAUAAUAAAAUAAAUAAAUAAUUAAAAUGAAAAAAAAAACAUAAUUCAUAUUUUUUGAAGAUUUUCAGUCUCUAACAAAAAUAACAAUUUUCGAAUUCAUAAUCAUACAUCAAACUCAAUUUCUCAAAAGUUCAAAAGAACAAAUGAGCGCAAUAAGAGAAAAACAUAAUCUUUUCAAGAUAGAGCCUGAAGAUGUUGUGAAAAAAAAUAAAUAAAUGAUAAAAAAAAAAGAAAAUUGAAAAUGAAAAGCAUGUUGAAUCUUUUGCUGUCAAAAUCAUCCAAUUCAUGUUUUUUUUUUUUUGUAAAUAAAAUAAAGGUGGGGAAUCUAAGUGUUUCUGCAAUUCAAUGUUUCCAUUGAAGGAUAAUGAAGGUUUUUUUAACAUAUGAUAUGUAUCACCUAAGUCCAUCCACUCUUCUGAGUAAUAAAAAAAAAAUGUCCUAAUAGAUGUUAGUCGUUGUCCAAAAUGAUAAAUGAGAAUAUUGGGAUAAUUUUUUUUUCGAAAUAUUCUCUUAGGUUGAUGGGAAUGAUGAUUAAUUCUGUUAGGCUAAAAAUAAUUAUAAUGAAAAAAUAAGAAAAAAUGAUAAAAGAAUGAUAAAAAAAAAAUGAAGAAGAUAAUGAAAUAUAAAAAAAAAAGUAGAUACCAUUAAAUUUUGUUUAAGAGUUAAUUUUUGUGAAAAUAAAGGAAUGAAGACUUAAGAAGAUGUCUCACGAUCUUUCUCUCCUAACAAAAAUGAAUUAUCUAUUGCACUUUUUAUGGGCUAAAAGUCAUAUUUUUUUUCAAAUUAUCCCUACAGAGGGUCUAGCAGCAUGAUAAGUUCACCUCAAGUCACAAUUAUCAAGAUGCAAAAAGAAAUCAAUAGAAAGGAGUAAGAAAUACAAGAUUAAAUGAAUUAGCAAAAUAUGAAAUCAAAUUAUUCAAGAUCAAGGAGAUAUAAAAAAAAUAAAAUAUGGAAAAAAGAGUUAGAAAAUGGUAAUAAAAUUAUUAGAGAGUGGAUUUAAACCUAACUUAAUCUAACAAAAUUGGAUUAAUGAAGUGGUCUGAUAUCUAAGAUAGGCUCUAAUAUAGCUCUAAAUACCAUAUUAGAAAGUGAAUUUAAACCUAACUUAACCUCAGAAAAGUAGUUUGUAAGAUGAAAUGACUCAAUUAUAUAUUAUAAAUUGACUUUAUUACUGGUGAAUAUUGUACUUCCAACAAAAAUAAAGAAAAAUAAACAAAAUGAGAAUUGAAAAAUGAGAAAAAUAAUCAAGACAACAUUAUGCUUAACUAAAGGCUAAAAUAUUUUAAUAUAGUAAUUUACAAUUGAAUAUUUGCGGUCACUAAAUAUAAUAUUUUAACCAUUAAAUUAAUGACCGAAAUAAAUAUUAUGAUGAUAAAAAACUAUAUUUUUAAUAAGUAAUGAAUAUAAAAAAUAUUUAUUCAUUUAAAAAUAAAUUUGUUAGUAAGUAAUCAAGAUACAUAGUAAAUAAUGACUCUCAAUUUUUUUAAUUAUCAUAUUUAUUAUUAUUUAAAAAUAUGACAUUUUUAAGUAUAAUUUUAUAAUAAAAGAUUAUUUAUUUCUUCUUGAUUAUAUUUUUCCUCUCAUCUAGUUUUCCAAUAUCGUUUGAUCUUUUUUUUUUUCCGCUUUACAAUUUUUCAAGUCCGUCGUAUUUUUAUUUAUCAAAUUCUCUUUUUUUGUGUCUCGUCUUUUCUGUUAUCAGAUUUUCUGUCUUCAAAUAUCUAUUAAUCUUCGUUCUGAAAUUCAUAUUUCCACCCCCCGUUUCUCCAACACAACCAUGAGCUCCUCUCACUCCUUUGAAACAUGUGUAAAAAAUAAACUCAUUAACAUUUAAAAAUAUAAAGAUAAAAUAUUGAUCGAGAUCCUCUACUUGGUAAUGAUGAAUGAUCAUUUAAUAUAUACCGUCUAUGAGAUAUAAGUCUAAUUUGUUUUUAAGAAGAUCAAAAUUAUAGAAAAAGAUAAAGCUUUUUAUUGGAACCCUCUACUUGGUAAUAGUUGUAGAAUCAUUUAAUUCUAAACUCUCAUCUUAGGAUUGGUCUAACAUGUUUUUAAGAAAAUCAAAAUUACAAAAACAAAAACGAUGAAGUUUUGAUCGGACCGUCAACGUAGUAAUUAUUAUUGGAAUUAUUUUAUUCUCUGUUCAUAUCUAUGUAUUUAUGUUCAUAUAUUUUUAUAUUUAUAUUCCUUUUUUAUAUUGCUCUAAAUAAUUAUAUAUAUCAAUUGUACUCUCUCCUUAUUAUUCAAUAAGAAAUACAAUAUUUCAUUCUUUCUUCUUUUCUAACAAUUAUCACUAAAUCCUUUGAACAGAGAUCCUCUCCUUGAGAUGGGUCUAAUCUGUUUGUAAUAAAUAAGGAAUAAAAGAGAGAUUUUUUUUAAUGUAAUAAGUGAGGAGUUUUUGGAAGACCAAAUAUGGUAGCAAUUUGAAGAUUUGAAAGCAAGAGGAUAAAAGAGACUCUUAGAAAUGAGAAAAAGACACUUUAAAUGCUUUACCUGAUCCAAUCUUACAUCUUUUGGUUAUAACAACUGUAUAUUUAAAUUUAUAAAAGUGUUAGGGUAUGUUUUCUUUAGAUAAACGAUUUCAGGGAAAAAGUGAGGUGAUAAAUUUGAGAAAAUUUGAGAGUAAAUUAAUUGUUGUUUAUUUGAGUGAAUUUUGAGGUAAGUGAGAGUCCAUUUAGAAGUAAUGUUUCUAAAAAUUAGUGUAUGAUUUGAUUGAUCUGACAAGAUAAAAAAAAAUUAUUUAAUUGGUAGAAUUUAAAGAUUAUCAAAAUGUUUCUAGUUAUUAAAGUAAUAUAAAAUGAUAAUUAUUAAUGUUAUGUUUAGGUUUAAACCCUUUUUUGGUCCCUAAGUUAAGUUUCGAUAUUCAGUUUAGUGUCUGCUUCUAAAAAUGUCAACCUUUAGUCGAUAUGAUAUGAAAAAUGUAUCCAAUCAGUCCUCAUGACAGCACUUAAUGAACAACAAAUCAGAACUUUUCAUACCUAGGUAUCUAAUAUUUUUUCAUACCUAGGUAUCUAAUAUUUUGUGAUUUGUUAACGGAAGAUGUUAUGAACAACAAAUCACUUAAUGAAAAACUUGUGAUUUGUUAACAGAUAAGACUGAUUUGAUACAUUUUUCAUAUCAUAUCGACUAAAGGUUGACAUUUUUAGAAGCGGACACUAAACUGAAUAUCGGAACUUAACUUAGGGAUUUAAACCUUAUAUUUAAUUGUAAAAAUAUUUAUAGAGAGUAAAAAACUAACAUAAAUUAUUAAAAUUCAUUUUUUAAAUGUAAAAAAGUUAUAAUUUAGUAAAAUGAAUUUAUAUUUAAAUGUAAUAUUUUUUGUAAUAUAAUUUACUAUCAAGUGGUAUGAUUUUAUUUAAUUGUAAAAAUGUAAAGAAAUUAUAAUUUAAUUAUUUCUUUUAAACUUCACCCAAAAAAAUAAUUGCAAAUAAACUUCAAUUACAUAAACCACCAUUAUAACAAUUUUAUUAGACUCAAAUAUAAAUUUAUGAAUUAUAAAAAUGCAUAGUUAAUAACAAUGAAAGAAAAAUAAGUUGAAGUAUUAUUUGGGGUUUGUUUUCUUCACUCCUAAACCAAUGGUGAAAAAAGAGAUUAAUUGGAUGAUGGAACAAUUUUGUGAGUGGUGAAAGAGGUGUAUGAAUACGUGUGGAGCAGUGAAAAUUGAAAUUUUUACUAAUCCUACAUAUCAGUGCAGUGCAGCUUCUAAAUCAAUGAAAACUAACACAAUUUUAGAGUUUCCAAUUUGCUUAAUUAACUCUUUAUUCUCAUACAUCAUCAUAAAAGGUAAGAGUUUUGGUUUAGGUUUCUAUUUUAUUUUAUUUUUGUUUUCAUUUCUUUUAAAUUAUUUUUAUUUAUAUUGGAAAUUCUAAUAACGAUAUCACCACAGCUUUGGUCAACAAGUUGUUAUUUAAUACAGUUAAUCUUAUUAAAAAUGUCAUAUCAGUAAAUAAUUCUUUAGGAAUUAAAAUAAAAAGUAUUUGAUUUCUUAAGACUAAAAUGAAAAUAUAACAUUUUAGGUGAUUAAAACUAACAAAAGUUAGAGAUUAAAAUAAAUAAAAAAUAACAUAUUUAUAAAUACUAAAAACAGAAAACGAUUUAUAAAUAUGUGAAAUAAAAAGUGAUAUGUGUAAAAAUCUAGAAAAUGAUAUUUUAUAAGUGGUAGUGGUUCAAAAUAGUGAGUCAAGAUUAUUUUAAUGUGAAAGAGUUUUAAUAUAAAUAGUUUCGUUAUAUGAAUGAGUUUUAUAAUUUUAAAACAUAAUCUCUUUAUAGAUAUUUUUCCAGAGUUUUCUAACUUUUCUCUAGGAUUUCUCGUUCUCUAUUCAUCUGAUUGAAAAACCAAGAUCGUAGGAUUGAUCCUUGUGGUGAACUUUUUAAUUCGGAUCGAUCAGUUUCUCAAAUAGAGUAAGUUCAUUUUCUACACUUUUUUUGGUCUAUUUUGUCUUCUUUUACAUGCAAGUCUGUUGUAGUUUGAGUCUUUUAUAAGAUUCUUUGCUUAUCAGUGGUCCUAAAAGUGUACUUGUAGAGCUAUUUUAGUCUUUCUAUAGCGGUUUGGUCUUCCAUAAGGUAAAGAAAGCUAAAUACCUCACUUUUGUCGUUUUAGUAAUUUGAUAAUUUGAGUUGGUGUGUUUUAUUUGGAUUAAAUUGACUAAGUUGUACAAAAUUAAGUAAUAAGCUUGUUGAAAUUUUGUGUGUUAUAGCAUGAUUGUUUGAACUUUGUUUGUAAUGUAAGUUGUCUGGUAUAUGAAAAACCUUGUCAUAAUUACUUGUGAAUUUUACAUGUUUUGGGUUGCUUGAACUGGGGAAAUUGAUGUUAUAAUUAAUUAGGGAUUGUUGUUGGAUUGUGGUAUGGUAAAAGGUUAGUGUUAUAGUUGAUUUUUGGACUAAAAGUUGUGGUUUGACAAGUGAAAUCCCAUAGGAAUAGUUUAUUGAAUGAAUUUAAUGAUAAGAGUUUGUAUUUGUAUCAAUUAUAACUUGGUUAGCCACUUAGUUGACUAAAAUUGGGUCUUUAGGAUGUUAGUUGUUGUUUGGGUCUGUGGUAAAGUGUUGGUUUUGGUAUAAUGGAUUGAGUUAUUGAUCGAAUGAUCAAAUUGAUAUCCAAUCCAAAUGUUUAAACAUAUUUUCCAAAUAAUAACCGAGAUAAGGAUAUCAAAUUAGGUCAUUUGGUUAAGACUGGAGUACACAUAGAUCAGGUUUAGAGCUGCUGGUUUUUGUGUGGCAUUGAGGGGUAUCUGAGUGGUGUUGAGCUAUGCAAAGUCAGAGAACCAAUGGACUCCAGAGCAUUGAGUGACCAUUUUGGGCACUAAGCCUGUGAAGACAGUAAGAUCUUUAUAUUUUUGGCAUUGAGGGGCACUUAAGGUCACUGAGUGUUGCAAAGACAGUGGGCUCUCUAUUUAAGGGGCACUAAGCGUGUUGGGAGGUGCUGAGCGCCACUUCGUCAUUAUAGGUAUGGACUUCUUUUUCCUUUAAUUCACUGGGCGAGGGGUUAUCUCGCUGGGUGAGGAACCUUGCUCAUUGGGUGGCAGAAUCUUGCAGUUGGGCACUCUAUUUUAGGGUUGUGUAGACGUUUUCCUUAUUGUUGAUUCCUUGUUUGAUUUGAAUUGGUUAUUUUGAUUUAAUGUAUAUUUAAAUGGAAAUGUUGACGCUUUAUGGAUUUUAAAUAUAAAUAUAAAUAUGGUUAAAGUAUGAUGGUAAACAUGUAUGGUGCUCGUUUGUGUAUGAUAUUAUGAUGAUUAUGAGUGUGUUAUUAAUCGUGAAUAUGGUAUACAUGUUUGAUGGAGUUCCAUGGAUCUUGUGAAGACAUUAUAUGGUGUAGGAGGUCUAAAAUAAAGAAUUAUUUUAACACUCUUAAUAACUUCCAAUUUCAAGUACAAAACGAUGGUUAUGUCGUGAAGAGUAGUAGGAGGUCCUUAGUCUGAUGGUCAUGUAUUGACAAUAGAUGUUUGACAGAUUAAUCUUGGUGUGUGAUAGUUUUAUGUGGGCGGGUUGUUUCACCACGCACAACGUAGAUACCCCAAGAGUUCGACAUAAAUACAUGUAUUUGGAUGGUCAAGUCUAGAAAUGAUUGUAUGUCCUAAGAUUGAUUGACUUAUCUAUGUUAUAUGCUUGUUUCUAUAUAGGUGAAAUACGAUUGUUUUUAGUACAUUAUCUUAUUCUUUCCUUUCUGUUUGUUUGUAGUGUGUUCCUUCUUGUUUGCAAUGAGCACCUUAAUGGUAUGAGCAAAUGAAGAUGUUUUAGUUGAUUUUGUGUAGAACGGGAGUGAUGCUGAAGCAUAAAGUAGGAUGCUUAAUCUCAGUGUAUAUUAUUUUUUUUUUUAAACUCAAUUACGCUUUUAGUUUUGGUGUAGUAGUAUUUUUUAGAAAUAUAGAAUCUCUGUAAAUAUGUUCAAUUACUAUUACAGUAAUGUUUGAGAUAAUUGUAAUAGACUUUUGUAUAUAUUAUUUUUUAAAAUUUUAUCCUCUUAUUUCUUUUCUAAGUAAUACUUUUUUAGUAGUUUUAUAUUAUUAAAAUUAAAUGCACAAUAUGUAUAUAAAAUACAUUUUUAAGUAUUAUACUAAAUGUUUUUAUAAUUAUUAGAUGUCUUAACUAAUUAAAUUUCUGCAUCAUCCAAUAGUUCGUUCUAAAAAUUGUUAAUAUCAAUAUUUUAACAUGAAAGAUAAUAUAUAACUUUUAUUCACAUUUUAUUUAACAGCGAUAAUUAUUAAAUAUGUUUUUCUUUUACUUAAAAAAUUGUUUGCAAUUAAUAACCUUUAUUAGAGUCUAUUUUUAAUUGUUGGAAAUAGAAAUAUGAAAAUAUGCGGACAACAAAAGCUUGUAAAGCGCCUAAAAGUAGAAAACAAAAAUACCCUAAAUGAACUGUAAAUCUUUUUGUGUUAAAAUAGUAAACUUUUUGAAAAUAUAAUAACUUUGUUUUGAUAAAAACACAUAAUAUACAUUGAAUGUGAGUGUGAAUGUAUGAGAUGUCAAAUUUCAUAAUAAUACUUGAUAGGAUUUUAUUUAAAAAGACAUAAGAUAUAAAAUAUGAUAAAGAAAUUUCUCCACUUUCUUAAUGAAAACAUAUUAAAGAAGAAAACAGCAUAAAAAUAUCCAUUAAUUAGUGACAAACAUUCUAAUAUGUGAAUCUAUAAUUCUUAUAAUUGUUUUGAUCAUUACAUGAAAUUUUGAUUCUUUCACGUUAUAAAAUAUUAAAUACAUUUACAUGUUUUGGAUAUUUUUAUAAUUAAAAAUUAUUAAAACAUAAUGUAUAAAAAUAAUAAUAUUAUGUAUAAAAGUUUUGUACCAACCGUUUGACUAACUGAUAUUGACUAACCAACUUUUGACGGAUAGAUAGACACCAUAGAAUGAGUUUAUACACAACUAGAUUGGUGACGAUGUGACCCACAACAACGUUGCCUACUAAGUAAUUAUGACAUUUGUAUUGGUAUAUCAAACAAUAUAAAUUUUAAUGUAAAUAUAUCGUAUUUUAUUACAAUAUGUUAAAGAUUUAAAAACUGCCAAUUUUUUUAAAUAUUAUUUUAAAAAUAUAAAAAAAAAUUAUAAGUUUCUUUUAACAAUUUUAUAAUUAAUAAUCAAAUCACCUAUUUUAUUUAAAAAUUCAAACAUGGAUUAAAUUGAUAAUGUGACUUUUCAUAAUCAUGUUUUUAAACUUUUAAUUUAGACUUUUGAGUACUAAAUUUACCUUUGAUUUAGGUAAUCUUUUAUGGACUAAGAAAUAAGAAUAUUUGUAGGAACAUCUGCAUCAUGUUAUUAUAAUGACAUGGAGAUACUUUUCAUGAUAAAACAAUUUAAAAUUAAAGAAUAAACUCUAAGAGCAAAGUAAAAUCAAAUCAAUCCAUAAAAUGUUAUCAAGAGACUCUAAAUUGGAGUCAAAAGUCAUAAAUAAUGAAAACCCUUUUUAUUUAGUAGCAACAUCCUUUGUUGCAUACUUGAAGUUAAAACUAGAGUUCAAAGUUAUGUUAAUUAGUUCUAAUAUAGUUUUAAUGUAAUUGUAUUUAUUCUCAAAGAAUGAUAACUCAAUCUUCAACAACUUCUAAAAAUAAUAUAAAAAAUUUGUUUAUUUUUUAAAGUUAGGAUGACAAUGUAGGUGGAUUAUGUGAGUUAAUAUGUUAGUUUAUUAGAAAAAAUUGCAGAGAGAACAAAGUAUUUUGAUUUGUUGGUAUGUUUAGACUAAUUUGUUGGUUUUUUUAGAUUUAUUUCACAUUAUUCGUAACUUUUUUUUUUUUUUUCAUUUUUCUUCACUUCAUGUUUGAAUUCCUAAGUUAGUUCUCUUGUGUAUAAUAAACAUUGAUUAAUUGCUAUAGUUUCUUUUUUUUUUAACUUAGAUAAUAAUUUAUUUUUAUGUUUUUUAUCAUGAAAAGUUUAAUUUUGACAUAUUUAUUUUAUGUAAAUGUUAUUAUUACUUUUACUUACCUUAUUUCAAUUUAAUUGUCAAUGCUAAACUCAUGUCAUAAUAAAGAUGUGUAACAUUAAAACCAGAUUAUUCUAGUAACAUUUGUAUAUUAUUUGUUUAUUAUAAUAAUAAACAAAAUAGAAUAAAAUAAAAGUACCAUUAUAAAAAUUACAAAAGCAUAGACAAAAUGAAACUAUUUCAAUGAUGACAGUGAUACACACUCUUAUGAAACAAAUUGCAUUAUUUCUAGCUAUUUAUAAACGGCAAAUAAAAAUUGUUUAUUGUGUGCAUUAAGGAAAAUAAUUAAUAACAGUGUCACCAUAUACUGAGACAAGUAUAGGAAAUUGGUAUAAAAGUGGAAAAUAUUUAUAAUAAAUGAAAUGCUAUGAUAUUGAAGAAACAAAAUAACAAUGAGCAGUAUAAGUUAUGUAUUUAUACUGUUUACGUGUAUAUGUAUAGCUACUAGUACUUUGAUGGUUAAUACUCAUGCUACACCAAAGUUUUUAACUUCGUGUACUAUUAUAGCUGCUAAAAGUUUCCAUACAAUGUCUUUUUUUUUCCAAUUGGACUUGUAUAAUUUUUUUAUUCAAAUACAUUAUCUAUCCAUAAGAAAUACUUAAUUUAAAAAUUAUUAGACAAUUUGACACUAUAGUUUCAUCUAAUCUUCAUCCGAUAUGUAUAUAUAUAAAAUCAAUCUAAUUAAGCAUUUUACUUAAUUUAACAGAGGCGUGAUAUUAUUCAAAUAAUAGAGGCAUGAUAAUUUAAAAUUAUCCAAUAAUAUUUCAUUAAUAUCUAGACGUAUUUUUUAUUUUAUUUUUAACUAAAAGAGUGAUAAAAUAAUAUGUUAAUCUUAUUAAUCAAAUAUUGAUUUUAUAUGUAAAUAAUCAUAUAUUAAGAACUCCUAUUAAACAAAAUUAAAUAUGUUAUGAAUUAUAUUAUACAUUUAUGUACUAAAAAUAUAUGAUAUGUGUAGUAAUUAAAAGGUAUUUUGAUAUUUCAUUAUUAGACAUAGAAAAAUAUUUAUUAGAAAUUUACAUAUACAAGGAAUUUAAAGAUAAAAUCACAUCACUUUUUUUAUCACAAGGAAUUUACAUAUACAAGUAUAUUUUUACUCUUACACUUUUUUUUAUUUCUAAUAAUUAUCAUGUAUGGUUACAUAAUUCUAAUAAUAAAAAAAAUAACUAUAGUACUAGUAAUAUUCGUUUAUACAAGUAUAUUUCUACUCUUAUAUUUAUUCUUAUUUUUAAUGAUUAUCAUCAUUUAUCAUUAUAUAAUUUUAAGAAUAAACAUAAUAGUAAUGAUACGUUGGGGUUGUUAAUAAAGUUUUAUUACUAUACAAACACUAAAGAAUAAAUGUUUGAAUAAUUCAAUGAUAGUUAAUCAACUUAAUCUCUAAUCCUUAUAAUCUCUAACUAUAAAUUGUCAUAUAUGUUAUUAUUGUGAUUAUCUUAAAAUUUAUUUUAAUAAUUACUUUUAAUUAAUUAAUCAUGUGUAAUAAAGCUUCCCUCUUAGAGAAUGUGGCCAUUAUUUAUUUAUUGGAACUUCUUUUAGGUUGUGGAUAAUUCUGGCCCAAUUAUCGCUCCAAUCCUGUAAGAAGACACAUUUUCUCUAGGCCUAUUUUACAUAUUCUGAUUAGGGAAUUUCCUUUUUCACCCCAUAAUUUUAUUUGUUCAGCAGCGUUAAUAACACAAAAAAAAUAUUACUCUGUCUUUAAAAAAUAACUUUCAAAGUAAUCCAGAAAUUUAUUUAACUUACUUAUGGAUUAUGUAAUUCAUAACUCAAUUUAUUUUAAAUUAUUUAAUUUCAAAAGCAUUUUAUUUUGAAAUCUUGUGAUGCCCUAUACGGUUCAAGAGUAUUAGUGGUUUUAAUAAAAAUAGAACACUAAUAUCAUAUUAAAAGGUUUAAGUUAUAUAAUGACUUUUUAAUAACUAACGUUUAUUUCUAUAAAACCACCAUCUCUACAACCAAACUUUUAAAUUCUUUUUGUGUUCUCUCUAGUUUAUCUUAAACAUUUUUCAUUUACUUGAAUAUUAAGAACUAUAGUCGUGAUUCUCAUAAGGAGUUCUACACAACCACCUGAUCAAAGAAUUGAACAAAAUAAGUCUUGCUUUUGUCCUCUUUUAAGUUUUGAACCUCGGAGUUGUAUUUGGUUCUAGAACCAUGCAUGUGAUUCAAAGUUGUUCUUAAUGACUCUUUAUCACUCUCUAAUAUUAAUGGUAGACUUAUAACUUCAAUCAGAUUUUUUGUUGUUUGUUGUUUUGGGAGACAUCUUUGGCUGAAGUAAGAGAAGCUAAUUUGUAAUUAUCCUUAAUUUGUUUAUUGAUUAUUGUAUUAUGACAUUGAAAUUGUGCUUGAUUAAUUAACAUAUUUGACAAUUAUAAUUGGAUUUGAAAUGUAAAAUUUGUCUUGAUGGAAUUUAUGAAGGGAGGAGUGAACUUGUGAAGGGAGGAGUGAACUUGUGGAUUAAUUAACAUAUUUUUGGACAAAUUUGAAUUUGUCCAAUAUGUAUAUUUGGUGGUUUAUAAAGUGUGGAAUUGGUUUCAUGACUAAGAUUGGAGUUUAAAUAUAUGAAAUGUUAAAUGUAUAGACAUAUUUAUGUGUUUAAUUUGAUUUUGAGGUGUGAAAGGAGUGAAUUUGUGAAUGCUAUAUUUUUGGCAAAAAUGAGUUGUUCAACAUAAUUUUAGCGUGAUUUAUGAUUUGUGUGCAACAUGAGUUUUGGUUUUUGGUUUGUUUGGCAUUUUUAAAUUACAAAAUUUUGUGGUAUACUUUAUGUAGACCCAUUGGACGAGCUUAUAUGCUGGGCUAGCUUAUAUACGUCGGGUAAGUGCUAAUUUUGAGUAUGGAAGAGAAACAAGUGACACUUUCUCAUUGGGCAAGCCAACCUCUUGCUAGGUGAGUUGGAUUUUCUAGCUCUAAGUCAUAUAGGGAACAUUAGGAUUCCUGCUUCAUUAAUCGUCAAAUUGAGCUGAAAUUUUGACAACAAGCCUUUGGAAUAUGAUUCUUUGUUUUGAUCAUUGAGAUAUUUGAUUUGAGUUCUAUAGUUUGAAAUUUUAGUCUUUUAUGAUUUUUCUAUUUAAGGUUUCUCUUUUAUGAAGAGAAUUUAUACUAGACGUGUUAGUAGGUUGUUAUGUACUGUAGUGGUCUUAGGUUGAUCUUGAUAUAAAAGUCUAUAUUUUGGGAAUGAUAAAUGUGUGUGAUAUGAAGGGUAAAUAAAGCAUCCUCAUGUGAUGAUAUAAUUUUAUAUAUAUUUUGUGGAUGUGUUUUGAAUAUAUGAAUGAGGAGGAAAUAAACGAGUAUAAAAAAUAUCAAAGGUUUCAAGGAGGUUAUUUCAAUAUAAAGUGGUAUGGAAGUGCAUGCCUGGAGAGAAGUAUACUAAUGAAAAUUGAAAGAAUGAAUGGAAAAUAAAAACAGAUAAAAGAAAGAGAAAUGGAAACUUAUGACUUGUAGACAUGUCACUUGAGAGAGGACUCCAAGAUAAGUGUCGAGGAAGGACCACCACUUGAUUUGCUCAAGAUAAGGUUUGCCAAAAUGGAGUAAGUGACAAAAGACUAUCUCUAAGAAGAAUGCAAGAGUUCAAUUCAACUCAAAAUUUCAUUGAUUUCAAAGGUAAGUACAAAGGAGACCCCCUAGGCUUCUUAUAUAGCUUUUGGAAUGAGUUUGGUGAAGAGUUUCAAGAGAUGUGGGACUUGGAAGGCUCCAAGGUCCAUCCAGCAGCUGCAACACGUCCCCUAGGUGCUUGGAGCCCCACAUUGCUUAAUUCUCUCAUUCCAAAAGGGUUUAUAAGCUACCUAACUCUCUUAAAGUUCAAAAAAUGAAAACUAGCUAUGCUUCCUUGUGCUACAAGCUAAGACGCCUACUUCCUUCUCUUUUCUUUUAAGACCAAGCCAUGGAAAGUCCCACAUUUCUUGUGCUUAAAGGAAAAGAAGGGUUUAUAAGCGUUUAUUCCACUAAAACUAAUGAAAAGAAUCAAAGAGGCAAAUACAAGUCUAUUAAACCCAUUCUACUUUUUUUGUACAAAUGUGUAAAGAAGACAAGAAGUAAAAUGAUUUCCUUUAACCAUGCUUCUUGUCAUCCUUUUAUUCUCUUCAUCGAAAAGAAAUCAAAGAGGCAAAUACAAGCCUAUUAAACCUAUUCUACAUUUUAUGUACAAAUGUGUAAAGAAGACAAGAAGUAAAAUGAUUUCCUUUAGCCAUGCUUCUUGUCAUCCUUUUAUUCUCUUCAUCACUUGCCUUCUCUAUGAUCACAUCAUAAAGGGAUGUGAUAUAUUGCUUUGUUUAUGUUUUAGUUGCAUGGCCAUAUUCUUCCAAGGAGGAAAGGUAGGAUAAGAUAGUUAGUGUUAUGCAAUUUCUGGAGAUCUUAGAAACACAUGACUUCGAUGGGCGACAUGUUGAUGAAGAUAUCUAGCACUUUAGAUGAAGACUUUUCCUGCAUGAACAAAGACUUAACACGAGGAAAAAAAGAGAACGAAUGAAUAUUAUUGAUGUAAAAAUUAUCUGUGUACAAAGCGAAAAAAGAAGGAAGAAUAUAUACAACAUAAGGUCUACAUAACAGAAAAGGGCACAUAAACCUAACAGAAUAAUAGAGAAGAAUGCAUAAACUUGACCAUAUAAGCUCAACCCAUAUGAGCCCGACAGUACAAGCUCAACUCAUUUUAUUUUUGUUAUUUUGAGAAGGGACACUCCUGUGAAGCUAUGCUGAACUCUACUAGAUUUACAAACUCAUAUAGAGGAUGAGAUCUAGGUGGUGAAGAGUGAAAGGGGUUCCUAUAGUUGGUUAAGGAGGUUAGUAUGGUAUAGAGAGCUAACCCUAUCAAAAGGAGGUUCGAUGACCUAGUAAAUUUGGGUUGGUUUUGACAUAUCAUAUCAUUAUAUUAUUUUGAUUGUUCUAUAAUAGUUGCACAACUUCUAGUAUCCGACCAAUUACAUAAAUUCAUAUAUUGAAUCUAGUGUUGUUAUCGAUUAUAUGUUUGUGAAUAGUGUGAUGAGAUAUUUAUGUAUUUCUUGUCUUGAUUAGGUGAGAUUGAGAUAAAAAAUUGUUUAUAUACGUUUAUAUUAACAUUAGCUUUUCCUAUUUUUUUUGUUGUUUUUUUUUUCUUCUUUUGUAAUGAUCAUUAUUAUGAUAUAAGAGGAGGUUCUAGUGAUAGUAGUCACUAAAAGUGGUUGAAAUGUAGAAUUCUUGUUUGUUUAUAAUUUUUGAAAUGAAUGUAGAAUAAAUAUAUAUAUAUAUAUAUAUAUAUAUAUAUAUAUAUAUUUAUUUUUUGAGAAUCUGACUAUAAUAAUAACAAUAUUUAUAUAUGAUUGUAUAUUAAAUCUUCUCUGGCCAUAUUUGUUUUUAUAUAAAAAAUAUAAGUAAUAAAGACCUAUUUUUUUGCUUAAAAAAAUUAAAUUAUACAAAUUAAAAAUUCGUAAAUAUGUUCUAAUUUUAAUAGUUUAAAAUUUUUACUUUCAAAUAAUUUUGAAUUAUAUAAUUUAAAAAUAUUUUUAUAAGAUAGUAACUUUUAAAUUGUACAAAGACAUUUAUUUUGAUUCAUACAAAUAAAAAUAAAACACAGACACUAGUGCAAAAACGUUGUUUAACGUUGGUUAUUUUGGACUUUUAACGUCUAAUCUUAAACUGACGUUUAAACCGGCGACGUCAAUGGGACGUCAGACAUCCUAACCACAGACGUCUAUAAUGACGUUAGUUAGUGCCCACGAACGACGUCAAUAAACGUCGGCACUGGUUUGAAUGGACGUCUAAAGGCACUAAUUAGACGUCGAAUAACGCAUUAACCGACGUCGAAGAGCAUAUAUAGACGUUGAACAUGGCAAAGGCCGACGUCUAAGAGCACAUAUAGACGUCGGUUUUUGCAUUAACCGACGUUUAAUACAGUGAUUGUGUUUUAGUGCAGUUUUGUUCCCGUCUUUGGACAGCCUAGUAGCACAAUCUCCUUUUGCUAGUUUCUCCCAAAAAAAAAGCUUGCGUCUUUUGAAUUUCUUAUGGUCCCUUCAACCCAAAACCGAACCUGGGUGGUUGCUUAGUUUCAUUUUUCUUCCGCAAGAGGAAAAAAUCACGAUGAAACGAAAACUAGACAACGACCCAGGGUUGUUUUUGGAUUGAAACGAUAAAAAGAAAUUCAAAAGACUUCACUAUUUCCGGGAGGCAGCUAGCAAAGGGAGAAUGUGUUACUACGUUAUCCCAAGAAAGGAACAAAACUGCAUUAAAACACAACACAAAGAAAGCAAAUUUUAAUCAGUUGAACCAGAAGAUAAUCGAUGAAAAACAAACGGUAAGCAUAAGAAAAAACCACGCACCUGGGAUGCAAUGUUGCAAGAGAGAAAAAGAGAGGAGGAAGACGAUAAAGAUAUCAGAAACAACAAUAAAAUGCCGCAACAAAAAGAAGACGUGCCGAAAGGGAGAAAAAGAAGAGUGUCGCGAGAGAAAAAAGAGAAGAGGAAGAGGAAGAUAUCAGAAACUGAAUGCCGUGAAGAGUUUGCGGUCUUUUUAAAAUGAAAUUGGGCGUCAGUUUCUCUAGAUAGCCGACGUCUAUAUGAUUAUAGACGUUAGUUCUGUUACUAAUUCGACGUCCAAGUUAACUUUUCAACUGACCUUUUGAAUCCCACUAGAUGUCGGUCACAAUGGGAACCGACGUCUAGGAAGCUGAAACGAUUGAUAUUUGAUUUCCUGUUAGGGAUGUUGACGACAGUUGUGAUGGGGCGCCGAUGUCUAUAAUGAUGCGCAUCAUUACUUACAGGCACAUAGACGUCGGUGUCCCUUCUAGCCAACGUCUAUGGCCCUCGAAUUUGGUGAAUCUAAUUAAUUACAGACACUUAGAUGUUGCAUGCACAGAUCCCCGAUGUCUAAAUUGAAGAUUUUUUAUCUUCCCGCCUUCCAUAUUCAGGCCGUAGACGUCGCCUGUUGACUAAGUGACGUCCAAGCGCCUGAGAAUUAGGUGAAAGCAUUAAUUGCAGCCCAAUAGACGUCGGCCCCGUGAACACCGACGUCACGAGACUGUCUUCUGACCUACCUCAGGCCAUUAGACGUUUGUUUGCAGCAGUUAGGACAUCUACAAUAUCAUAGACGUUGCUUUGUCUGGAAACCGACGUCUACGUUACCAAGAUAUUUACGAUAAUGUCACCGUCCACUCAUAUACGUCGGGUUAUCAACAAACCGACGUCUAUUGAAUGACGUUAAACAAUAUUUUUACACUAGUGAGACAAAGAUAGUGACAAGAUGAUGAAACACAACGACACACAGACUAACAGUGGUAAGGGGUGAUGGCAACAGCGGCAGUUUGGUCUAUUAACUACUCCAUGGAAAUGCACAUAAAAAGUAUGGCGUGGCAGAAAGAAAUGGGCUGAUAACCAUGGCGGAAUUCAUUGGUUGGUCCUUUUGUGUAUUGCUAUUUACACUCUCUUUACAUAAGUUUUUCAUUUCCUCCUUACAAAAAUCCUCUUCCCAAAUAGCAUGUUCUGAAAGUUUAUUUUGUAACGAUUAAAUGUUAAAUUCAUUUUAAAAAAGUGUUAUUUUAUGAAAUUUUAAUAACACUUCCCAAAACUAACUAUAGGUAUCAAAUUUUGAGCCUUGUUACUGGAAACUUAAGUAUGAUAUAACAACUUAGUAAUAUGUAAUAAAAGAAUGAACACAAAUCUCUUUGUUAGAUCUAAUUGAUUAAUCAACCAUAAAUAAUUUUAAACAAUGCUGACAUAAUCUAAAGCACAGUGUUGUUACAAUUGCUUUUGUUUUGGCACCAAUACAUUUAACAUGUUUCUAAUGGUAAACUUGUACUCUUCAACAUAAUAGCAUUUAUUAAGUGGGGAUAAAAUAAUCAAAAUCUUUCUACUUGAUUAUAACCCAUAGAUAAUUAAUUAUCUAGGUUGUUCAAAAUAUACCAUGUUUUAUUAUUUUUUACUCAAUCAAUUAUUCAAAAAUUAUAUAUUAAUAUAUUAUUUAUAACCAAUGAGAUAUAAUUGAUUAUGAAUUUAUUAUAAUCUAUUAUGCACUCAUGUAAUGUAAAAUUUUCAAAAAUUUCAUAUUUUAGGAAAUAUUUUUGCUUUAAAAAUUAAAAUUAAAAUAUAAUAUACAUCCAAAUAAUCAUUUUGUACUUUAAUUUUCUUAAUUAUACCUUUUCCUUAAAAAAAAAUUACAUAUUAUCAGUUUGUGUUGGUUGUUUAUUUAGUUACAUUUCUUAUAAACAUCAAGAUUAAAAAAAAAUCAUCUCAUAAAGAUGUAAAAUUCUAUGAAAAUAUUUUUUCUUUUCAAAAUCUUCAUAUACACCCAAAUAACCAAGAUGUUUUUCAAAGUGUUGUUCCUAUUUUUAAUCAUCCUGAAGUUAAUGAUGAUGAUUUACAUAAUUCAACAUAUUAGUUCCAUAAUUAUACUAUUCAUAAUAAUGUUUUGCACACUUCUGCUCCUCAUCACAAAAAUGCUAUAGUUAUAGUCAUCUUUAUUUUAUGAAUGAUUAUCAUUGUUACGAUGUAAUAACUUCGAGCAACAUUCUAGAUCUUAUACAAACUACAUUUGUCAUAUUUCUAUUAAUUUUGAACCACAAUCUUAUUAUCAAGCCAUAAAAUUUCCAUAUUGAAAAGUUGUUAUAGAUUAUUUUCAUGCUAUGCUGUUAAAUAAUACUUCCUCUAUCAUUCCUCUCUCCCUAAAAAGCAAUCAUUAGAGUUGUAAAAAAGAUUACAACCCACGCAUCAACCAGGUCCACCACGGGUUCGAGUCGGGUUAGAUUUGAAAAAUUGUAUUUUUUUUAUGCGGAUAAGAUUUUAACCCAGAUCAUUUAAACCCUAAAUUUAUUUUAUUAAAAUUUUAUUUUAUUUUUAUGAAAAGAUAUUUAUUAUUUUUUUUUUGAAAAAAUUAUUUAAGUUUCCUAUUUUAAAAAUUAAUUACACACUCAUGUUGGCAGUGUAAUUUGGGAUUAAAAUUUGUUUAGAUUUGAAUUAUAGAAUGUUUGUAAUUUUUUUAUUUAAAAAAAUUGUAAUUAAGGGAGUUAGUGAACCAACCCGUUUACCCACCAACCCGUGGUGGGUCGGGCUGGGUUCAAAUUUUUCUGACUCGCUAAUAAAUGAGUCAGGUUGGGUUGGUUCACUAAGUGACCAACCCGUGGUGGGUCGAGUCGGACCGGGUUACCUCGUUUUGACAGCUCUAGCAAUCAUAAGUUGUAAACGAUUUUUUAAAUUGGAAUUAACUUCUAGGACAUCUAUUGCUAAACAUAAAGCUAGGUUUGUUGCACAUUGUUUUACACAAUAAUUUAGAAUUGAUUUUUGAGAAACUUUUAUCCAUAUGUUGCUCAUGUUACUUUUCUUAAACUUCUUUUCGUUACUACUUAUAAACAUUGACAUCUUGCUCAAUUUAAUAUUAACAAUACUUUUCUUGAUGACAAACUUAAUGAAGAAACCUUUAUGACUAUUCCUCAAGAUUAUCAUCAUGGUUUUUAAUCUACAUCUAACCAAUUUUUAGUCUAUAAAUUUCAUAAAUGUAUAUAUGACCUAAAACAAGUUUCUAGAAGUUGGUUUACUGCUUUUUCUUUUACUCUUACCUCUCACAAUUUUAAUUAAUCCAAGUAUAAUUAUUCUCUUUUUACCAAAGGGGCACACAACACCUUCAUUGUUAAACUUGUUUAUCUUGAUGAUAUUGGAAUUGCUAGCCCUAGUCCAACUAUUAUUAAGUAUGUUAGGUUCAACACUUUUUUAAAUUCUCAAUUUUUUUUUUCUUGAACUAAAGCUUUCUAAAUCCAAAAUAGGUAUUUUUAUGUGCCAACAACAUUACAUUCUCUAUUCUUGAGGAUUGUGGCACGUUGGGUUGUAAGCCUUCUUGUAUUCCUAUGAUUGUCAAUAUUAAACUCCAUGAAUCUUUUGGAACUCCUAUCACUGACCCAUCUGUCUAUAGACACCUUAUUAGAAGGUUACUAUAUUUAAUCACUCUAUUAAUUUAGGUAAGUAUGCAUUAUACCUUUUCCUUAAAAGAAGUUACAUAUUAUACAAGUUUAGUUUGUGCUAGAGUUUAGUCUAUAUUGGUUGUUUGUUUAGUUAUGUUUCUUGUAUAGUUAGUUUAAUUGGUUUUAGUUAAGAUAGCUUUUGUUUUUCUUUUUAUGCUUCUGCCACCAAGCCCUGUGAAGGAAGAUAGAAAAUACUUUUGGUAAUCUUCAAUAAACUUUUUAUUCUUUCCUUUGCUAUGGUAUGCUAGUACAUAUUGUUUAGGCAACCGCAAAAAAGAUAAUACAUUUGCAAUGAAGAUUUUUUAUGUGGAUUAAAAAAAUGUUUUCUAUGUUAGUUUAAGUAUAAUCAACAUGGAAAUUCUUAUAAUUUAUUAUGAAAUUACUGUUACAUCAACUUUUUAUGUUGAUUAUAAUAAUAAUCGACCUAAAAUUCUUAUCAUAUUUAUAAUUCUAUCACCACUUCAUUUAUUAUGGUAGGUGGAUAAAACUGACAUAAGAAGUUAUCAUAAAAAAUUAUUGGUGUAAAAACUAAUUUUGUGUUUUUUUACUAUAAACCAUUUCUUAACUAUUAUAUUUCAAUUCACUAGAUUUCGUGGUAUUGAAAUAGUUAGUCAUUAAAUCUUAUUAAGCUAAAAGAAAUAUAAACUUGUAAAAAGCAAGAAAAAAAACUCUUAAAGGUGUAUUAUGCAACUAGAUUCUUUGAGUGACAGUCUACCAUAAUAUUAGGAUAUGUUGUGUGAUAUAAGAAAAUAAAAUCUAGGGGACACUGGUAUCAAUUAGGAAGUACUACUACAAGAAAAACAUAUUAUUUUGGAAAUUUAACGUCUAACAGCACCGACGUCUUAUUGGAAGAUCUCAAUUUAACGUCGAGUGUAUAGUAACAUACGUCAUUAGACAUCGGUUUUUUUAAAGAUAAAUUUGUUUUACAAUAAAACUAUACUGAAAAUCAAAAAAUGUUUCCAACACAUCACAAAAUUAUACAUACUAUGUGUUUUAUGUCAUUAUAAUACUAAACAAUCUAAAAAGCAAUUCAAAAUACUAACAAAAGUAUUAACCUUCUUGAAGGGUUGAAAAUGGAAAUAAUCGAAAGAGAAUGGACACAAACAAUACAGAAUGGGCACAAGUAAUGAAGAGGGGAAGUGUUGCUGCCAAGCUCCGAGAACUCGCGCACAAGAACUUUACCAAAAGCCAAUGAAAACGAAUUUUAAUCGGUGCAAAUGAAAGAUAACGGUUCCAAACGUAACGUAGUAUGUCCAAAAUGAUUUUAAAUAGUGCAAAGUGGAAGAAAACAUAACUGAACGUUAAUGGUGAAAGAGAGAAAGCAAAGGAAGAAGAUAAACGCAGCGAGAGAGAAAACGCGUAACUAGUGCUCACGUUCUGGAGUGGGUGAAAAUUCAAGGUAUUUGACGUCGGCUGACGUCGAGUCCCCUUGCCAUCUGACAUCUAAGUGGUAAAGAAAAUUAAUAUUUUUGCACCGUUUUGACGUUCGUGGAGAGGGGAGCCAACGCCUAAAGUCUAUAAACAGUGACUUUUUAGUUUUGGGUGCAUACCAUUUAAUGUCUGACUCUAAGGGAGUUGACGUUUAAACCAUAUUUGACGUUGAAGACUCCUAUAACCAAUGUCUAGAAUGCCAUUUUAUUUAUAAAACUGUCACCAAUGAUUUUUUACAUUGGAUUUUCUUACGUUAGACAUUAAACGCAUGACGUUAAACGUUAUUUCUACACUAGUGAAGAUUAUAAUAUUCAUAUUAGGUAGUUGAACACAAGAGAAGAAGAUGAGAGAAAAAAUGUUAUAACUUGUAUAAUUAUUAAUGUUUUAUUUUAUAAUUAGUUGUUAAUGGUUUGACUAGCGUAUUGAAUUGUUCAAGUAAUAAAACAUGGCAAGACCAAAUAUUAUUUUCCAAGAGACUUGUGUAAUACUAAAGAAUUGUAUGAUUAACAACUCAUUUAGACUAAAGAGCAGUGCAUGGAUUUACAAAUAUGUGCAAGGACAUCAAUUUAUAAAUAAUACAAUGUGGACUUUGGUAGUUGAAGACAUUUAAGAGUGGAAAAAGGUCAUAAAUGAUAUGGAUCGACUUUGCUAAGGUUAGGUUUCACCAACUCCACUCUUGUGCAUACACAAAUUUAUCUCCUCUCCAUUAAACAUUAAUGUCAACCCACACUUUAGCCCUAAUCCCUUAGGUGAAAUAGCCUAGAUUUUCCUAUUAAGCGUCAAUCCUUUGAUCACUCAACAAGCAAACUCGCAUUAAGAUCUAGACUUUAAGACAACAAAUGGGUCAUGUUCCAUCCCUAGAAUCCAUGUCCUCACUAUGUAUCUUGUUUCAAGUCUAGGUCACACAAGAUACGUCCUCAUACCUAAUGAACCACAAAUCAAGUCAUGAAUGUCCCCAUUACAUGCAAGCAUUAAGAUCGAAAACAAGAAAACUAGCAAUUAAUGGUAAAGGUGUGUGUGUGUGUGUGUGUGUGUGUGUAUAUAUAUAUAUUCAAAUCAUCCACACAAGAAUUCAAAGGUUACAUUUAUCCCCAACAAGAUGAGUUUGGCUCUCCAUUUUCAUGGAGAGCCUUAAGCUUACAAAAUGGUCAUGGAAGAAGAAGAAGAAGAAACCAAGAGGAGGAUGAGAGUGUUCCCACGAACCCUAGCAGCUCUCCAAGGUCCCCUCAAAGUGAAAUCGCGCCUCUAAACCACCAAAGACCCAUAUCACUUCGCAUUUUUGAGCUAAAUAGACUAGAUUUGCCACAUCAGCAAAAGUGGGCCUCAACGACAGCCCAUCAGUAGAAAGCCAAGAUGAAUGACGCUCAAUGGUAGCCUAACGGUAGCCUAGAGGAAGAAAGCCGAGACGAACGGUGCUCAGUGCCAGCCCAACACCAGCAUUCCAAAACUCUCCCUUUUUGUUGCUAUGCUUGCUUCUCUAGGUGGUUAAGUUCUUUAAAUUGGUGGAAGUUCUUUCAUAACACAAAAUUAGCUACAAAACAAGGGAAUUAGUGAUUAUAUUUAAUAAGUGUAGCCCAAAAUACAAUUAUUUAUAAAAGUAAAAUAAAAGAGAUGAUUAAGCAAAAUUCAAACUAGAAAAGAGAUGAUUUUGCAAAGAAAAUAUGGUCCAGAUAAUGGUAAGAAUUAACAUUAUCAUUAGUCAUCACAACAAGUCAGGUCACACAUGAAUAAUAGUUAUUCAAUACCUAAUCUGUAACAGGAAAUUUGACUUUUUAUCUGUUUGAUACCCAUUUAAAAAAUAUUUAUGAAUUUUAAAAAAUUAACUGAUAUUUAUGGAUACAUAUAGAUAUUUAAAGAAAUACAAAUAAAAUUUUAAAAUAAAAUUUAAAUAAAAUUAAAAAAUGAAAAUAAAAUAUAAUUAAAUUAAAUUAAAUAUAUAAAUUUAAUCGAAUAAAGUUUACAUUAAAUUUUAAUUUUAAAGAUAAUAAAUAUUUAUAGAUACAAAUAGUUUAAAUUUGUUUAUAAAUAAAUAUUAAAUUAUUCGUCAUCCGGAUCUAAAGUAUCACUUAUUACCUAAAUUUUCAUACCCUUAUUAGUUUCAUCCGUGUAUAUCCUUAAACAAUAGUAGAAACCCGGCACGCACAUGAAGAGAACCCAAUUCUCUUCUUCUUUACUCUUUAGAAAGCACAUCAUACAUAAUUUUGCUUUUAAUUAUUACUUCCUUUUUUAAGGGUAAUAUAAAAAUAAAUUAUUUGAUUUUCUUCAUUAUUCUUUUUGAGAAAAAAUAAUUUUUUUACGUUUUAUGUCAUAAAAAUAAAAAUAAAUUAAAGUUUAUUUAUAUAUAAUUUUAUAAAUAGUUUAUCAAAACAAAUUUAUAAAAACUUUAAAACAAAAAAAAAAUAAAAAAUAUACUUUCACAAUUAUAUCUAAAUAUAAAUAAUUUAUGAGUUUAUAAAAAAUGACUUAUUUUAAAAUUUUUUAUUUAAAAUUACUUUAUUUUUAAAUUUAAACAAAUUUAACAUAUAUUAUAUUUUUAAAAUUUCAAAAUAAUGAAAUUAUAUAUCUCAAACAUAAUUACAAUUAAAAAAUUAUUUGAAAAACUUUUUGUAAAAUCAACAUUAUAUGUUAUUUAGAAAUAACUUUCAUUUGAAGAUUUUUUUUCAGUUAUAGAUCGCUUUUUAAUUUUAUUGAGUACAUUAUUAGAAUUGUUUCCCAAAAUAGACAUUUUGCUGUUCAGUAUAUUUUUUGUUUUUGCAAAAGACUAAAUUUUUAUCAUGUCUUUUUUUUAACAACAUUUUCUUUUCUAAUUUUAUAAAUGUUUAUAUUUAUUUAUAAUAUUUAUAAUAAAUUACUUUAUUAUAAUUUCACAAUUUUUAUGUGAAUAUAAAUUUAAAAAAUAUAUAAUUAAUAUUUAUAAUUUAAUUGAGAAUAAUUUUUUUCGAAAAAUGAUAUAAUAAAUAAGAUAAUUUAAAUAUAUUGUAAAUAUAGAAAUAGAAAAAUUAUCAUAAUGAAUUAUUACAAUUUUGGAUUUUUUUGUAAAAUUAAUUUUGAUAAGUGUAUAUUUAUUUUAUUAAAAUAAUUUACGUAAUAAUUCUUUUGUGUGUAAUAAGUUAGAAAAAUAAAAUUAAAUAAUGAUACGAUUUUAGGAGGAAAUAUUUGAACUUUUCUUUCCUCAAGCAUACUGUUCCACCAAUAAUUACAUGUAUAUGAAUUUAAAUAAGAAUUUUCGAAUUUAUACCUUUUUUAUUUUAAAAUUCUUAUAAAAUUCUAUUAUGAAUUUUUAUAUUUUGUUAUAUUUUAAAUUUACAUAAUUUUCAAAAUAAAACUUUUUAAUUUUUUUUAUAUCUCUAUAAAUAAACCUAGAUGUGUAAGGACCUUAAAAAAAAUGGUAAGGCUAUUGGGCCUGAGUGGAGGCAGCCGACCCAUAAGACUAAGGGCACAUCACUUUAGAGAGUAGUUUUUCAAAAGUCUGAUUUCAUUUUAGCCAAUCCCUUUCUCUCUCUAAAAACUCAGAUUUUCCAUUCUUUCUGCCUUCUCUCUAAAAUCCCAACUCACUGAACCGUUUAAUUUUUGGUUUGAAGGUGUCUAAGCGUUCACAGCGUCAAGGGCUUCACUUUGAACCUAUUGGUUUCUCCGUUUCAUUCCGGUAAGUAGUUCUUUUGUCUCCUCCGCUACUUUCGAAACCUAGGGCUAGGGGUUCUACUGAUUUUAAGCAGAUAGAACUUUCCUUUCUUUGAUUUAUGUAACAUUCUAGCUCUAAAGAGCUGUUUUCACCACCUCCGUGGUGACUGUAGGGCACUGUUCAGGUUUUGCACUAGGGAGGGUAUUAUUAGGGCGUGUUCAAUUAGCUUACUGUGGAAACCCAAGGUAAUGGGAGAUAAUUAUGUUUCUUUGAAUUGAUUAUGUGCUCGGUAUGUCUAGUGAAGUUUAAUUGUUAUACUGUUUGAAUUGCAUGUUAGGUUUUAGGAAUAUUGGAUGGUAUGUGUUGAACUGUGAAACUGAUGAAAAGUAUGAAUAUGUGAAUUGGUAGUGUACUGCUUGAAAUCUGUUUUGAAUGAGUCUAAAUGCUGCAAAUUGGUAUGUUGAAAGUGUCUUGGUCGGAAAUCCUACUGUGUUGUGGUCUUGAUAGUACAAUGACAGUUUGGGGUAUCGUUUUAAGUAGAUUGAAAGAAAUUGAGGCGUUGAAACUGUACAUUUGGAGUCUAGAGUCCAAUAGGUUAGUUUGAAUAAUUUAAAUGAAUAAAUUGUAACUCGUUGAGAGCAUGUUUGUUGGUAGGAUAGAGGAGUCUUAAAAACCUGAGUUGGCACAUCCCUGAUCAUAGAGCAGCCUUAGCCUAGUCCAGUCAGUUGUGACUAGUCAUAUGUGCUGGCGUCGAAGAUGAGUCUGAUGCGUUCAGACAUUUGAGUCCUCUCUAGUGACCAAUUGGAAUGUGAGGAGGAUUGGGAGAAAGUAAGAUCUUUACUAUGAUGAUAAUUAGAUAAACAGUUAGAGAUUUAGAGGCAUUCUAAGUUGGCUAAAGGGAAGUGAGAAGGUGAUUUUGAAUAUUUGGAGUGCUGAGUGCAUUUGGUCUGUUUGGACAGUUUAGACAAGUCAUUUGUGACUUGUUAGGCAGAUAAAAUUGAACUAAAACAGAUUAGAAAUGGUAGAAUUGAAUUAGAGUUCAUAAGUCAUAGGAUGUGAUGUUUUGGAGUUGAAUUCAAGCCUAAAUCACUUUAGAAUCACUGUAUAAUUGAUAAAAUCUAUCUAGACAAGUUUAAAUAGGUCCAUAUCACAAAUUAGAGGUGUUAGAAGUUAGGUUAGAGGGUUAAAAGUGGUUGGAGAGGCAUGAGUUGCAUGAUUCUGCAGAACGUCUGAUGGGAACUCCUGAGGAGUUGAGUCUGUUUGAAGUAGAUCUGGAUCCUCAAGGCUUCCUUGACAAAGAUUGACGCAGCGGAAAAAGGAAAAGGAUCUCGGUAUUGAAGUAGAAAUCGAGAAAGACAAAGGAUCUAGGGUUUUAAUCGGUGGAAAACCCUAUAGACUCGAAGGAAACCCUAGAAGUGGGGAGAGACUCGAAUCCGACCGAUUAAACGGUGGAAACAUGAUUUUGAUCGGUGCAAAAGAGGAAUGAUCGGAGGAAAACAAGUUUAAUCGGUGGAACGUGGUGUUUAAACGGUGAGAAAGGUUUUUAAUCGGUGGAAAGUCAAGAAAGAGGGUGGAGGAAGGUGGAUCUGUGAAGAAAAUGAACUUACAGUGACGAACGGAGCGACAAUGGUGGAACAGCGUUUAGCGGAUGGCUGGAGAUGGAGAGAUGCGCUCUCGAGAGCGAGGAAGUAAAGCUCGAGAGAGAAAAUGAAGUGUGGAUCUGCGCGAGAAAUGAAGAAGACGUGGUGAUGACGCGACUGAAGCAUUGACGCGUGUGCGUGAUGUGGCCGUGGAGGAUUGAAUCUGCGUGGAGGAGAGAGAAUGGAGCACAAUGGAGUUUGGAAAGUGAAAUGGAAGAGGUGUGCUGGAAGGUGGCUAGAGGCGGUUCAUCAAGACUCUCUAGCAUGAACUUUCAAGAUAAUUGUGUCUGGAUUUUCUUCAACAGAAAUCACAAUUCAUUUACUCAAAAGUUGUGUUUACAAUGGUGGAGACGGAUAUUUAUAAUAACCCGUGCUCCAAGAGAAAUGGACUACAUGUACACUAAAAAUAAAAGAAAUACAUGAGGCAGUAUGCCAUCAUCCCCUCCCUCUUAAGAAAAGAUUUGUCCUCAAAUCUUGGGAGUUGCCUUAUAAAGACGCUCCUCAUAGUGUUGGGAGCAUGGCCAUCUUGUAGUGGCCUUAUUCCUUUAUUCCUUGGGAUAUAUUGUUCUUCCUCCUGGAUCAAACACAAAUCUGCAAUACACAUGAAAUAUAUCACNCAUUAAUAUCNAUCCAAGAAAGGAAUUUUCAAAAGUAAUAACUUUGAAAUAAAGACUUCUUAUAUUUUGUUUUGUAGUCUUGGAAAAAUCUAGAAGUCCAUAUUCACAAGUUAUUUUAUUUUUAUCUUGAGUUAUGUGUCUCCUCAAGGGUAACAUUAACUCAAGAAUCAAAUUGCCAUGUUUUGAAAAUGAUUGUUCAUGAAUGACAUUUGAUUCAAAAGAGAAGGUAAUAUUUGAAAACUCAAUAAUGAUUGGAAAAGAAAUAAAGAUUUGGAAACCUUCCCUUUUAGGUUCCAUGACUCUUGGACGAAUUAAAUUUUCUAUUUCUCUCUUGUCCUCUUCUUUCUUCUUUUCUUCUUCUUUUCUCUUUUUCUCUUCUCCUCAUUCUAGUCUCUCUUCUUGCUUUUUUCUCUCUACUUCAUCUCUCUCUUUCUUUUCUUCUUCUUUUCUUUCUUGCUCAAGCCGUUUAAAAUCUCUUUCUAUUUUCUUAUCCCUUAACUCUUGAAGUUUUGCCCUAAAUUAUAUUUCCCUAUGAAAGAAACCAUGAGCAGUUAAACUUUCAAGAAAUAUUUUGCCAUUUUCAAUACUCUC
rnacentral:lncRNA from 1 species